CAAGAGUCCAAGACGAUGAAGGCAUAUACCAUCAAAGCCUUGCAAGGAAAAAUUAAUUGACACUUCUAGUGUUGUAUUAUUGUGAAUAUAAUAUGGAAAUGUGAAGCUCGGUACACAGUUACUUUUUACUACCAAGUUCCAUCGACUGGCAAAAUUUACAAAGCGGAUCAACAUUACAAAAGAGCAACAAUACAUUGGUUGAAUGUAAAUAAACGAGCUACUAAAUUGCAAUCUCAUAAAUGGUAAUAAAGUAGCAAGUUCCAGUUGAUGACUGAAAGUUCUUGAGAAUCACGGCUGAGUAAAAGAAAGCCCUGUUUAUUCCUGUGUAAAUAAUACAUUCUCUUAUAUUGUAAAGAAUAAUAACAGAAAGAGAUUGGCGUAAAUGCUAGACCAUCUAUCACUAUGACUAUUAGGCAUUGCUUUCAGACACAAAUCAUAGUUCCACAAAGACAAGUUUGAAGAUUUAUAAACAUCAUCAAAUCACACACCAAUGGAAGAAUAACAGAAUCAUAUUAGAGCAAAACAAGACAAUCAAUAAAACUAAUCGAGUAAUUCAAUGGUGGAAUCAGAAUAUCAAUAAGCAAAAUAAGGUACAUGGUACAAUUCAAUUUGUUCCUCAUUUCCCACCAUUUCAACAAAUAAAAACCAGAAAAAAAAACAGCAGGCCAAUCAAUAAAACUAAUACAACAAGUAAUUCAACAGUGAAAUCAGAAUAUCAAUAAGCAAAUAAGGUACAUGGUACCAAAACAUUAAAGUCUUGAUUCACAUUAUAUUUCUUCCUCAUUUUCCACCAUUCCGACAGGACAAAAAAAACAGAACAAUCAAUCAAAGCCAACAACAAUAAUAUGUAUCCGACCAGAUAAUGAAGCACGAGAUACGGAAUGGUCGAAUUAGAAUCUGAAAAUCCCCAAACGCUUAUCUCUAACAGAUUAAAAGCUGUAACACUUAAUAUUCAAAGAGUACGACGAAUAGGGAUCUUGAUUCCAGAUUCUAAUGUCGAAGAGCCUCGAGCUGAUAAAAAAAUCAGGAAGGGAGAUGACAGGUAAGUUAACUAGGAGAACCCUAAUUAAACAAACCCUAUAAAAAAAUUCGAUUUAGCGCAGCUAUGACUCGACACGCUUCCAUUGAGAGUUUGUGGAAGGCGAUCUUAAGGGCUGCGCAAUCGAAAACUCCUAAUUCGAAAACAUAAACCCUAAUUUGCUCCCAAUACUCUAGCAAUUGAGAAGAGAAGCGAGAAAGUGAUAUAUAGUGGAGACAGUGUUUUUUUACCCUAGUCCAACUUAAGGCCUAUUACAUAUAAAACUUAUUGUAGGCCCAUUAAGCCCAUCGUUUGUAAAGCCCAAUAAUGUCUACGACGUGUUAAAAAUAUAUGGAUAAAAUUAAACUGAUUUUUGUUAGUACAGUUCUUAACCAACAUUUACGUUUUCACUAUCCCUUAUUAAUAAACAAAUCUCAUACAGAUAAACAUACACUACAGCAUUAUAAUACAUGUAUAUUUACUUCCCAAAACAGCUAUUUCCCAAAUUAAAAAACAAAUAUUCAGUUAUAGAAAGCAUUCCAUUAAUAGAAUCAAAUAAAAAUCACCCUUUACCCCUUGCAUACAUUUACACAACCACAUCCUCUCCUCUCCUUAUCACAAAACACACAACAAGAACAAUAAGUUUGUGAGCCGACAUGAGUCCCCUCCAAACUGAUCAGCUUGGUGAGCCGUCGCCAAUGAGAAAGAUGAUCUCAGUGUCUUCGAUCGCUGCUGGGGUGCAGUUUGGCUGGGCGUUACAGCUAUCUCUCCUCACACCCUACGUGCAGCUUCUCGGCAUCCCACACAAGUGGUCGUCCCUCAUCUGGCUAUGCGGUCCCAUCUCCGGCAUGCUUGUCCAGCCGACCGUCGGUUACUACAGCGACCGAUGCACGUCCAAGUUCGGUCGUCGGCGUCCUUUUAUCGCGUCGGGAGCGGUACUCGUCGCAGUCGCGGGGAUCUUGAUCGGAUACGCCGCUGAUCUCGGACGAGUACUUGGAGACAAACUCGAGGAGACAGUGAAGGUGCGUGCGAUAUGCAUCUUCGCUCUCGGGUUCUGGAUCCUCGACGUAGCUAACAACACUCUCCAAGGCCCUUGCCGCGCUUUCCUCGCGGACUUGGCCGCGGGGGACGCGAGGAAAACGCGGACCGCAAACGCGUUUUUCUCGUUCUUCAUGGCGGUUGGAAACAUAUUGGGAUACGCGGCGGGUUCUUACACCAACCUUCACAAGAUCUUUCCCUUCACGAUGACUGAAGCUUGUGAUAUUUAUUGUGCCAAUCUCAAGAGCUGUUUCUUCCUCUCCAUCAUUUUACUUUUGUUUGUCACCGUUUCAUCGUUAGGGUACGUUAAAGACAAGCAAUGGUCGCCGGAGGAAGCAGACUCCGACGUGAAAACGCCCUUCUUCGGGGAGGUCUUUGGAGCUUUCAAGGUGAUGGAACGUCCCAUGUGGAUGUUAAUAAUAGUCACGGCGUUGAACUGGAUCGCGUGGUUCCCUUUUCUUCUGUUCGAUACUGAUUGGAUGGGUCGUGAGGUGUACGGUGGAGACUCGAGCGGAAACGAGAGUUCGAAGAGGCUUUACAACCAGGGAGUCCACGCUGGUGCGUUGGGACUGAUGAUAAAUGCGAUCGUUCUUGGGUUCAUGUCGCUUGGUGUUGAAUGGAUUGGUCGGAAAAUGGGAGGAGCUAAACGGCUUUGGGGAGUUGUGAACUUUAUUCUUGCUGUGUGUUUGGCCAUGACGGUUUUGGUUACAAAGUUGGCGGAUGCUCACAGGAAAACCGCCGGUGUUUUAGCCGGUCCGACCGAUGGCAUUAGAGCUGGGGCAUUGACUCUCUUUGGUAUUCUUGGUAUUCCACUUGCUGUAAGUCUCCAUCUUGUCUCCUUUCGCAUUUUUUGCUACUCUUAUUAUAUAUCCAUUCGUUAAUUUAUUCUGUUGGUAAUAUAGGUUACGUUUAGUAUUCCGUUUGCACUAGCUUCCAUAAUCUCAAGCAACUCUGGCGCUGGCCAAGGUAUUUUAAAUUUCUUUUCAUAUAUAUUUUUUAAUUAUUUAUGGGUUUUGGUCAAGCAUACCAACUUUACCAUGUCCCAACGUAUAGGGCUUUCCCUGGGAGUUCUAAAUCUGGCAAUCGUGAUACCACAAAUGGUGGUGUCACUUGGAGCUGGACAGUUCGAUUCUUGGUUCGGAGGUGGAAACCUACCAGGAUUUGUGGUCGGAGCAAUUGCAGCGGCAAUCAGUGGUGUAGUGGCAAUAACUGUUCUACCUUGAUUAGAUCUAUGUUAUGUGUGUUUAUCACGGCCGGCUUUAGUAUUUUAAUACCCCUAUAGACCAAGAAAGAGUUAUAAGGCCAAGUUUGAAUUAUGUUUAUCUGUCUGUCAAAACCUUGUAAUUUUACAUAUAUUUGGUAUGAACUAUUCAUUUGUCUUUUUUUCUUUUUUUAAUUAAAUUAAAUCCAUUAAAACGAUUCUUCCUAGAAAAACAAUGCUCGCAGAAGAAGCUACACUGUUUCAUAUAAUGUCUGUACAAAAAACACAAAAGAUGCAUAACAUAAUGGUAGUAAACAAAAGGUAAAGCAUGUGAUCAUUUAAAUGAAUGUGAAACAUGUCCGGAUGUGAGAUUAGGAUAUGAUCAUUUAAAUGAAAUCUGAAAGAUGCAUUGAACUUUGAGUAGAAUACAUAUAACAGUUAUAUUUGAGAGUUUGACAAGAGGAGUACCAGUACCACUAAUGGUGCUCUAAGGUAUAGCCAAGUCGCUCUCUAUCUCUCUCUCUUUGGAUCGGUCGGUCAUUAUAUUAGUUUAACUCAAUAGAUCGGUGUAUACCGAACGAGAAAUGAAACUUUCGAUUUUAGUUUAAUUGAAAUAAAAUUUCAUAUAUACUACUAGAACUAUGGUUGACCAAAUUUUUUGAGAGAGAGAGAAGUCUAGGUUUGAAACUUUAUAUUAAUAUUUAACACAAUCACAUUGAUAUAUAUAUAUAUAUAUAUAUAUAUUGAUGUAACUCAAUGCCCAAUCAAAAUAAAUGUGUUUGUCAAAAUUAAAGGGGUUGAUUGGGUUUGGGAUACAAUAAUUAAGAUCAUCGAAUAAAAUUUAACCCUCGGCAAUAUGCAGAUGGUAGUCGCCUAGCUACUUAUUGGCACUACUCCGUAUAGGACAGAAGUAGUCAAAGCAUAUUCCACAAGCAACUUUUCCGCCUUCAGAAUAUGGUAAACCAACUCACAAAAAAAAGAAAAAAAACAUGGAUAUCUUUGUAAAGUGGGAGGCUCACAUUUCCGGCCUGGUAGACGAUAUCCACUUGACCCAGUUUGCCGACACUUGCUGGAGUUUCAGACUCACCCGGCAGAUGAAUGCGACUUUCCGUCUUGCCCUAUUACUCGGUAGAGUCUCUGAGUGUGUGGCACUUCAUCUGCAAUAUGAGAAGAAUGGGUGCGCUAACAGGCUCCAUGGCUAUCCAAGGGCUCAUUACCGCAGUGCCCUUCCUGACCGCUUAUGGGUUGAUUUUGGAGAGCGAUUUUUACCAUCGGUGUGAUCGUAUUAGUGGGCUCCCUUUACCAUCGGCUCCUGUAACGAUGAUUUUCCUUUUGUUAUAUUGUUUUCCAUUUUUUUUUUCUACUGGUGUGAUCUUGUUUUAAUUUUGUUUGUUUUUUAAUAUAGAGAUUUCCUCGGUUUGUGGUGUCGGAAAUGAAGAUUCAUAGACUCCAUGAAUAUCAAAGUAAUAACGAGUUCGAGACAGCAUUUUUCUCCGCACUGAAUUACUCUCUGGUCGCGGCUGUAAUCCCAUGUUACCCAUCCUUGGACGCAUUUAGAUCCUCACCUCAUAACGUUAGUCUUAACUCAAAAGCUUAUUAACUCUUAUAAUUGAGGGGUCUACUUUUAUAAUUCAAUCAAUUGGUUAAACAAAGUACUUCUAAGUUUUAUUUUAGUUAAUAGUAUAUAUAUGGUAAUAACUAUAAGAAAAUUUAUUAUUGUAUUUAAAAAGUAGUUUUUAAAGAGCAUAAUAUAUCCUUAUUUUUUGCUUAUUUAUUUCUUGUUUUUCAGCUAAAUAUUUUAAUCAUUUGCACUGCUGAUUUUUCACUGUUUGUCAGCUAAAUAUUUUUGAUUAUUUGAACUUGUAUAUGUGUUUAGUUUUUUUUAUUUAACACCUCGUUUCCAUUGUCAAACAGUAACAAUUUAUGUGCUUAUUUAUACAAUUAACAAAACAAAACAAGAUUCCUGUAACAAAAAAAAACUAUUCACAUUUGAAAAUGAAUAUUGCCACCCAUACAAUCUGAUUGUUUCAUUAUUAUCUUUGAAUCUUCUAUUAGAAUUAGUGGUGGUCCUUAACAUAACGAAAUGAAAUAUUAGACAAAAUUUUCUACAUUUUUUGUAAAAACAUUUACACUGUAAAAAUCUCCAAAUUUGUAAAAAGAAUUUUUUUGUUAAAAUCUUGCAAAUGGCCCCGUCCCUGAUUAGAAUGUGUGAACUAAAAGCUGAAGUAAAGUAGUGCUGCCUCUGCUGGACUCUAGACAUGAAGUGUUGUGUUUAGAGAUAUGUGCUAGCUUUGCUAUAAGCUUGUUUCAUUGUGAUCUCUGAGUCUUCUAUUAAAAUAUAGUUUUAUUAAUCACAACAAAACUCUAAAUUCUUCGUGACUCUUAAAAUGUAACAAUGUUUUCAUUGUCUCAAACACUAAAUUUAUGUGUUUGUUUAUCCAAUUAACAAAGCAAAAAAAAACUAUUCACAUUUUAAAAAGAGAAAAAGACCAAAAUAGCACUAAAUCAAGUUUUUGUUACCAAACUAGCACUCAGUUAAAAGUCACAAAAAUAACACUCAAGGGGUGGGGUUUAGGGUUUAGAAUUUAGGGUUUAGAAUUAGAGUUUAGGUUUUAAGGUUUAGAGUUGAGAAGUGAGGUUUUGGGGAUAAGAUUUCAAAUUUUGAAAAAUAAAAAAAUUUAAAUUUUUUAAAAGAUAAAAUGCUAUUUUGGUCAUUUUAGUUUUUGAGUGCUAUUUUGUGAUAUAAACUUAGAAAAGUAUUAUUUUGGAGAUUUGCCUUUUUAAAAAUAAAUACGAUAAAGGUGGCGCGAUCUGAUUGGGCAUGGCCUGCAAAGAAGAAGUCCCUGGGUCCAUCUGCUGUGAGUGAAGUUUCGGACCUCCACGUCUCCGGAUAAAGAUCCACGUCGUGACACGUCAUCAUCUCCUUCGUUCGGCUCCUCUUAAUCAAAUAUUCUCCAAUUCGUCUCCAAACCAAAACUCCGGAAGCUUUCAUGGUAGAUGGCGGUUAAGCUACAUCGACCGGGUCUUAUAUCGCCAACGUAAGGCUCUCAUUCUAUUUGCUUUUUGAGCUUCUUCGAUUCCAUGGUUCUUAUCGUGAAAUUAAUUACUCGUCGUGAUGUUCAUGGCCAUGAACUUGCUUGUACUUAGCGUGAAUUAGGUUUUCGAAGCUGAAGAUGAAUGUUGUUUCUGCUCUAGUAAACUCUUUUGUUCGGGGCUGAAUCGUCCUGUGAGAAUUUUAGUAGUUGUGUGCAAUUCAAGCGUUGGGGGUAGUUUAAUAGGUAGAGAGAUUUGGUUGCUUCUUGGUAUAAACAUCAAAGGUUGGGGUGAAGACAAUAUAUAUUAUUUAGCUGAGCUUUCAUGUACAAAUCGCCUGAGAAAUCUAGUAUCAUGAAUUUGAUUUUAUUGCUUUUGUCAUUCAUUAGUCUUCUUGCCUUUGUAGCUAUUCAAACCCUUGUCUAUCGCGGAUGUCCAUUGGAACUUUUAUAUCCUGCAGAAGAGUGGUGGAGUUGGAUUACACAUCGAACUUCUCCGGGAACUCGAGUAGACGGUUGUUUGUAACCUACGAUGUUCUGGAGAGUAGGAGCUACUGUUUUCGUAGGAGAUCGUUUGGAAACAAGAAUAUAAGAGGGUAUAAAUUGCGGAGGAGAAUGCGGCCUUUUCUCCUUGCAUCAUCUUCUGACGACGGUGUGGCUGUUAAUGGGACUCCCCAGCCGAGAGCUAGCGAUGAUGUUGAGGAGAUGAGGGCUAAGCUCAGUGGAUCUCUACAAGAUGAGUACAACUGUGAUGAACUCAUUCAGUCUUUGCAUGAUGCUGCCAGAAGUUUUGAACUUGCACUUAAAAAGAAGAUUUCCUCUUCCAAAUUACCGUGGUUUUCAGCAGCUUGGUUGGGAGUCGAUAGAAACGCGUGGGUUAAGACAUUUUCUUAUCAGGUAUGUACCCAUUUUAGUUCCACUUCGGUGUUUACCAUCCGAGUGGUUACAGUUGUACAUUAGCUUCCACAGAGUAUUUCUUGUCAUAUUUUUAGCUAUAGCUCAAUUCUUUUUUUACGCUCGUUCAUUCUCAGGCUUCCGUGUAUUGCUUACUACAAGCUGCAAAUGAGGUUUCAUCUAGAGGAAACAACAGAGACAAUGAUCUUAAUGUCUUUGUGCAAAGGAGGUACUGUCUUAGGAGUAUGAUAAUCUUCCUAAGAGUUUCCUUUUGAAAUGUUUCAAAAACUACUAGUUACUGUCUAAAUAAUAAUCCCAUACUGUUGCUUAUGGUUAUGCCUGUUAUGAUGUUUAAAUAAUCAAAUUGUGCAGUUUAUCACGCCUAGCUGCUCCCCUUGAUAGCAUGAUGCGGGAUAAACUAUCUUCCAGUCAUCCUGAAGCCAACGAAUGGUUUUGGUCUGACCAAGUUCCUCCUGCUGUGACAUCUUUUGUGAGUUGUUUUGAGGGGGACCAACGAUUUGUUGCUGCUACUUCUGCGUAUGUGAUUUUUUUACUCUUCAUAUUAGUUAGUAAUGUGAAAUACUCGUUUGACUGUAACAUCUUUGGAAUGUGAUGAUGCUUUAUGGUUCAUUCCAGCUACGCCAAAGGCAAGUCCUCAGCUGCAAGCAAUGAGACUGAAGUGUCACUUCUCAUGCUUGUGCUCAAUUGCAUUGCCGCAGUCACGAAACUUGGCCCAACAAAACUUUCGUGCCCGCCCUUCUUUUCUUUGAUUCCGGAUACUACAGGAAGAUUGAUGGACAAAUUUGUUGACUUUGUUCCACUCCCUCAGGCCUAUCAUUCAAUGAAAAGCCUCGGUCUGCGCAGAGAAUUUCUUGUUCACUUUGGACCACGAGCAGCAGCCUGCAGAGUAAAAAGUGAUUGUCCUACAGAUGAGGUUGUCUUCUGGGUUGAUCUUAUACAAAACCAACUGCUUCGAGCUAUUGACCGGGAGAAAAUAUGGUCAAGAUUAACAACGUCUGAAAGUAUCGAGGUAAUGAAUAGAGAGUUACAGUGUACACAUUUAAGCAGCUUUUAAAAUCUCUGUCCAGUGAGCAUGUGAGCUCAUGAUAGUAUUUGAAGAUAUUAGAGUUAUGUGCAAGUAUAGUUAAUAUAAUUGCUUGUUUAAAUUCAUUGGGGAAAACAACCAAUUCUAUGUUAAGUUGUUGGAUCACUUUCUGUGCCUUCUCUUGUAAGUGUUGUUUAGAGUCUAAAAACGUGGCAGAAACAGUUCGCAAGUGUAUAACGAUUCAUAGUGUGUUUAGAUUGUGAAAGUGUGCAGUAACAGAAUAUGGUUGAAUACUUUAAUGUAAAUAUCUUGAUAGUUUAUCAGGACCGGUUACUGUUUCCUUGCAGGUUUUGGAAAGAGAUUUAGCUAUUUUUGGAUUCUUCAUUGCCUUAGGCAGGAGCACACAGUCUUUUUUAGCUGCAAAUGGUUUUGAUGCGCUGGAGAAUCCUAUGGAAGACCUUGUCAGGUGACUCAUUAUUUUCUUCAGUUGGCUUCCCAUACUCUUCGUUCCACACUACCACUUAAACUCGCAAGCUUCUUUGUGCAGGCACUUCAUUGGGGGCAGUCUCCUCCAAUAUCCUCAACUUUCAGCCAUCAGUUCGUACCAGUUGUAUGUAGAGGUAGGCAUGAUCCAUGCCGUCAUUGGUGGAAUUAUCCUUUAACCAUUUUGAAAUCUUAUCAUGGAAAUUCAUAGUGUAGGUUGUCUGUGAAGAACUAGAGUGGCUCCCUUUCUAUCCAAAUAAAAAGGACUCGCAGGCAGCCAAACAAGCACAUGGGCAUAAAAACAGACCAGAAGGGCCACCCAAUUAUGAUGCUCUUCCUCAAAUAUUGAAUGUUUGCUCUUAUUGGCUACAGAGCUUUAUUAAAUACAGCAAAUGGCCAGAAAAUCCUUCUAACGUCAAGGCAGCAAAAUUCUUAUCCACUGGGUAUCGUACUUGUUACUUAUCAAAUUUUUGGAUAGUUAAAUGAAUUAAUUGGCGAUCAUAUUUAUUUUCAUUCUCAAUUUUUAGGCACAAGAAGCUAAUUCAGUGCAAGGAAGAACUGGGGAUAUCAAGGUAAGCAAAAGAGCUAUAAAUGAAUAGAAAGACGUUGUGUAUCCAACUCUGUGCACUCUAUGUAGCAUGCCCUUAUUAAUCAAGUGAUUUGAUAGUGUGCAAUUGGAUAAUGUGUGAUGCAGUUUGGCAGUAACAGAAGCAGGAUUUGUUGACAUGAAUGCAUUAUCAACUGAACAGUCAAGCUCAUUUGACAAGGUCGGUAAUCUCUGUAUUGGUCAUGAAUAAUUGCUUUACUUUCCGUACACCAACUGGAUCCAGAUUUUGUUUAGCACUCCAGUUGGUGUGACUAUCAAAUGUUAUAUAGCUACUGACAGCACUUACUUCCCAGGCUCUAGAGAGUGUAGAUGAAGCUCUCGUGAGACUGGAAAGCUUGCUACAGCAGUUGCAUGCGUCAAGCUCAUCCUCUGGAAAGGAACAAAUAAAAGCUGCUUGCUCUGACCUAGAGAAAAUAAGGAAGCUCAAGAAAGAGGCCGAAUUUUUAGAGGCGUCUUUCAGAGCCAAAGCAGCUUCCCUGCAAGAGGUGUGUAGUGGUUAUAUCAUAUCUUUCCUUUCAUGUAGUUUGGAUUGAUAUUCAAGUGCUGAUACUGGAGUUUGCUAGACUAACCGAAGAUACACCAACAUUUACCCUUUUUACGAAGUGUAGCAUCAGUUUUGGUGCUUGUAAUAUGAAAACAAUGAUGAUGAGUGCAUUUCAUUUUAUUAAACGUGUGUGGAUGGCUAAAAUCUCAUGUGGUUCACUCAGGGAGGUGGUGACAGCAACUCCCAGGUGUCCUCUGAGGAACAAAAACAGAAUCUAAAAGGAAAAGACACAAAGAAUUCAAUUAGCUCUGUAGAUCAAGGCACAAGGUAUGUUGCAUGUUCUGUUAUUCAGUAAUAUCUUCUGUGUUUAAGUAUAAGUUGUAGGUUCCCCUUCGUUCUCUUCUGGUAACAGAAACUGAUUUAUUCUUUUCCAUCUAUAUUAGUAGGAGUCGUGGAUUCUGGGGUUUCUUUGAGCGCCCUCCAAGGAAGAAGCCUGCCCCCAAGGUAUUGUCUAAUUUCUUAUCUUAUGCGAAGCAUAUCUUAUACCUAAUAUUUUUUGGGAAUAUUUCUGCUUAUUCAGUCUCCACCCAGUGAGAAGAUGCAUUGUUAAAACUUAAAAAAGGUUUCAUUUUUUUUUACAAUACGCAGGUAGAUGAAUAUACUGAGAGGUCCAGAGAAAACGUAGAUAGCGUUGAUUCCGAAUCCAGUGAGAUUUAUCGGUUCGAACUUCUAAGGAAUGAACUGAUAGAGCUGGAGAAGCGGGUCCAAGGAAGUACAGAUGAGUCGGUAGAGGAAGAGGUUAGUUAGUAGUAACCAGACUUUGUGUGUGUUCUUUCCUUCAUGUUUAAAGUUUUUAACAUGGUAGCCGAUGAUCAUUUGCGUCUUUCUCACGAGUACUAGCUCAUAUCACUCUGUUCCUUGACAAUCAAUUUUGCACGUUCUGCAGGGAAAAACCUCUGGUGAUCCUACUCCGAAAUCAAGCAGUAGUAUGAAAGGUGUGGAGUUGGUUCAAAGCUCAAAGAAAGAAAGCGUCAUUGAGAAAACACUCGACCAAAUUAAAGAAACAAGCACAGUAUGAAAGUCAUUCCAAGUCUCAUGGCACCUGCAGCUUCUUUUUAUCUACUUCAUGAUUUAACUUCUAAAAUUUCACUUUACUGUGAUUUUUUUGAUAGGACGUGUGGCAAGGUACGCAGCUUCUUGCAUUUGAUUCAGCUGCCGCUAUGGAGCUGCUUCGGAGGUCUGUAAUAGGAGAUGAAUUAACAGAGAAAGAAAAGAAAGCUCUGCGCAGAACUAUUACUGACUUGGCAUCAGUUGUUCCCAUUGGUGUUCUUAUGCUUCUUCCUGUGAGUAAAAACUAACCUUAUCAGAUUCACAAAUAUCAUACUUCCAUCCCCAUUGGUUGUUCAUCCUUGUAAAAAAGUUUCUGUUUCACAACUUAUCAUUGGCACCAAAGUCGCCUUCACCGUUAAUUUUAACUAAUCUAAUGGGUACGCGUAUGUCAAACAGGUCACAGCAGUGGGUCAUGCGGCUAUGCUUGCCGCAAUUCAAAGAUAUGUACCAGGCUUGGUAAUACUUUUUUUUAAUACUUGCUUUUCUCUCCUGUGUUGUUUUUUUCUUUCUCUGUUCCCAUUGGAAGUUGACAAACAUCUGUCUUUGUUCAGAUACCUUCGACCUACGGACCAGAAAGGUUGAACCUAUUAAGACAGCUGGAGAAGGUCAAGCAAAUGAAAAAUGAAACAGAGCCUGAGGAAGGCAUCGAUGAAGCAGAAUCAUGAACAGAUUCAAGAUGCAAAAAAUCAGUUUAUACAUCACCUUGUUCUAUAUAAUUUAUUGACAAGAGAGGUGUGCAUAGAGAAUCUCAUUCCAUAUGUGUCUGUGUACGCCUGGUAGGCACCAGUGGCUGCAGUCCUGAGGAGCAUCAACAAACAGGAGUACCACUUGAGAACCAUCUUACCUAUAAUCUCUGUCAGAUACGUAAAAUGUUGAGAAACUUAAAACCUUACUAUGUUGAUAUCUCAUAUCAUAGAUAUAUAUCUAUUGCGAGUUGUAUCAGGUUCCUUUUGUCAGUCCAUUACACGGUGUCGAUCAAAUACAUUUUUGACUAAACCAGAGAACAGAAGAUAUCUCAUACACAUCAGCUAAACCGGAAAAUUAAUCAUUAACUAAACCGGAAACAGAACCGAAACCUAAACCGAACAUUUAAGCCAAAUCUCAAAUAGAGAUAACCGGCGACGGUAAGCUCAACUGUGCGAGAACAGAGCUGCUACCGGCGACUGUAAACGGCUCUCCGGGAAAAUGAAGCUAAAAGUUGUGUAUCGCAAGGUCUCCGAUUACAUCCGUUACGAUCUUAAAGAGAUAGUCUUACCUUCAUCACUUCCCGAUCCACCUCACGUCGUCAAACGCCGCAAAUUGACUUGGCACGAACGAUUUCUCGUGAGAUUCCUUCCUAUAUUCCUUUGAUUACUACUCUCUUCUUUGAUCAGAAAUUUUCUUCACAAGAUGCUAACCAGUGAAUGAAAUGUUUACUUUUUUUUUGUAAAUUAGGUGUUGAAGGAAGCUUCAAGGCUUUACGGUGCAAGCUGGGUACGAGACAUAGGUCCCGAGCUUCGUCCAAACGAUUACAAGAAGCAAGGUGACGCUGAGCCCAAGAAACAAGCCAAAGAGACUGAGAAAGAGCCCUCUGUUUUCGAAGAUCUUGGUAAGCCCUCUACUAUUCAUAUUGAUUAAGUGUUUUUCAAUCUAUAUUUUUAUUCAUAACCGCUUUUUUCGUUUUCUGUUUACUCUUUGUUACAGCGGUAGCUGCAAGAGGCGGCAUGGAGACUUUAAGACCUGCCUUACACCGUGUGUACAUGACACGAGCUUCUAAUUACAAAGACGCUCUUGCAAGCUUUAUAAAAGGUUAUCAUGAGGGUGUCCAGCAAGUUAUGCAGAGCAAAGAAGAGUCUCAAGUCCCUAAAGAUCACGAAGAGGACAGCUCUAAAAAGACUUCCUGAUAUUUACUUGUUUGCUCCCAAAGUAGAUUGUAAUACUUUGCUAGUUCUUGGUUUUUGUUUGAUUGUGCUACAAGAAUCCAGAGAUCUCUCUAUCUAUGACUUAGUCCUUUGUGAAGCCUCUUCUGUCUUCUAGAAGUUAAAUACAUUAUAUAUUAAGCAACUCUAGUUAUGGUUAGAAACAGUUUCAGACUUGUAUAAUUUCUUCUUCCCAAGUUAAAAGCAUUGUUGACCUUAAGAGAUAGUGGAAUUAAAUCCAUGCUAUAUGUAACAGUCUCCCAUAAUGCUGUUGUAGGAAAGUUUGGCUAGGCCUUGAAGUUAUCAAAAAGCAUAGAUAUCAGAUAGAUUUCAGGGAGCCCUCCAUUCAAAGCUGUACUUUAAGUCUUGUUAUGAUCAAAACUUUAUCUGCAGGAGCCCUGAUGCAGGAGAAGCCACUGAGCAUCUUAAAACUGUAGCCAAAAGCUUGAAAGACUAGUGAUAAUGGCACAUGUCUUGAGGGCUGAGGGGUCCCUCUCCCACUUGUUGAGCCACUAAACCCUUUGGGCGGAGAUAUCAGUUUUUGCCUUCGAGUCAACAAGUAUCUAUCCUGAAUCUGUAUGGGCCCUUAAGAGAGUCACCUGUGGCUCUAAGUAAGAUUAAAGUAUAUUUAGAUUUAACUGUUGAAUAUCAACCCAUGCUGUCAAGUCAAAAAAAUGUGUCUGCCUUAAAGAUUAGAACUUGUUUGUUACUACUGCACUCAAAGUUGGAGCAUGUGCGCAUACAACCCCUAGCAUUUGUAGUUAGUGAGUGGUCAUGAUAAGCAGGGUCGGCCCUGAGAUUUGGAGAGGAUGGCAUGUGAUUGUUGUGUCUAUCUAAAAAAUGUUUUUUACAUAUUUGGAGGGGCAAUUGUCAAUAAUAGCACCUUUUGAAGUUUAUGUCUCAAAAAUAGCACUAGAAGGAGAAAGUCACAAAAAUGACAUUCAUUAAAGGGUAAAAUAUCCUUAAUACCCUUGGUUUAAAAUUAAAUAAACAAACAAAAAUAAAUAAAAAUAAAUAAAAUAAAAAUUAAAAAAAUGAAAUUUUUUUUUUUUUAUAGUUUCAGAUUAUAUGUUUUUAGAUUCGAAAUUUUUAUAAUUUUUUUUCGAAUUUUUUUUUUUUUUAAUUUUUUUUUUUCAAAUUUUCUUUUUAUAAUUUAAAAAUACUUUUUAAAACUGUUUUUUUAAUUUUUAUUUUUUAUUUUAAUAUUUUUUUUUUAUAAAAUUUUAAACCCUAAUUCCAAAACCCCACCCCCUUAACUCUAAACCCUAAGGUUUGGAUUAAUUAACCCAAGGGGUAUAAGUGUAUAUUUACCUCUUUAAUGAAACCUAUUUUUGUGACUUUGAACCUUGAGUGCUACUUUGGGAACAUAAACUUGGUUUGGUGCUAUCCUAGUCUUUUUCUCUAUUUGGAGUUUAAAUUUUUUUAUAAAAUCUAUUUGUAUGUAAUUUUUUUCAAAAAAAAUGAGCAUAUUUUGAAUGUUUCACUUAGCAUGGUCCAGGACCGGCCCUAAUGAUAAGGUUGUAUUGUUUCCAUCUCUGUUAUGGAACCUUUCUGUCUAAUCAAGACUUAGCUUUACUCCAUUGGUGUUAUAUGCAGAUAGUUAUUGCAGCAAUACCAUAUGUUCAAGGCUAUAAACCCCAUGUGUUUAUGGUUUCUUGAGAUCGAAAGUGAUGUAGAAAUAAUGUACACUAAAAAUUCUAUAAAUUAAUAAUUUUUUUGUUUCCGAAUUAGUAUGGCUCAAAUAUGAUAAAAAUUGAUAAUAUAAUAAAAUAAUAUUUUAAAAAUAUUAUGUAAAUAUAUAAUCUCGUUAAAAUCAUAAAUUAAUAAUUUUGUACAUAUACAUUUAAUUUUGUAUGUGCUAGAUAAAUUUAUCAUUGGAUCAUACCAGAAUCUCUUUUUGGAAGCACAUGGAAGUGGAUAGCCGAUCCAAUCACCGAUAUUUAUAUAUAUAUAUAUAUAUAAUGAGAGGUAAAGAUUGAAGAGCACUAAUUAGUACAUGAAAAAAGAACAGGUUCUUGUAGGACUAUCUCAAUUGUAUAGACUUCCUCCCUGAGAUAAAAUGCAUAAUUGUAUGAAUAGUCAUACAUAAUAUACAUGACUUAUUCAUGCACUACUUCCAAUUAAAUGACAAAAUAUAUUAUAAUCAUUUGACUUGAUUGAUUUGAUAUUUAGUUAAAAUAUUGAAUUGAAGUAUUGAACCAUGCCUUACAUGUUUGGUUCACUUGCAAGAGAAACUAUUUGAUCAAAAAAAAAAAAGCAACUCCAAUAAAAAUAAAUUAUCAUUUGGUUGGCCCACUUUUUCUAUAUUAAUCUCAUCAGUUUCCAAUUCCAUCUUUCACCAGAAGAAAAAAAAUCAUCAUCAGACAAGUACAAGUAUACACCAUGAUGCAUGUGUGUGAAUACAUCAUCUGAUCAUCGUCAUCAAUCAUCGUGAGAUGUAUUCAUUUCUUUUUCCUUCUGACUUUGGAAGUACAAGGACAAAGAAAAGAGUUUUCCUAAAAUUCAGCGAUCUGUUUUCUCCUUUCUAAUUUAUUUUUCCUAAUUAUUUACAUAUACGGAAGCCAAUGAGAUAUUUUUAUUAAAAAUGCAUACAAAUUUUCCAGAAAAUUGGCAUCUGUGGCUAUAGAGAAUGCCGAAAGUCUUGGUCAUUUCUUGUCACGUCUUUGGACCUCUCAUCCUCGUCUAUCUCCAACCUGCUUCAUCGUAUCUCCCGUGAAACCUAUAUUCUGUUUAUAUAAAUUAUUCCAAAUUUUUUUUUUUUGAUCAAAAAUUAUUCCAAAAUUAUCACUCAUUGUUUUAUUACAAAGAUAUUGUCUAACAUGCAUAUAAUAGUAUCCACUCUUGAAUACAAAACAUCAAUUUUGUUGUACACAUUUCCAAAUCAUGUUCUUUUUUUUUUUUUUUUUUUAAUUUUUGAUUUCCUACUUUUUUGAGGAAAUUUGUUAUUUAAAAAAUCCAAAAAAUUUUUUUUUUUUUUUUUUUUUUGAAUAUAUGUUAAAUUUACUCAAAAAGAAAAAUACACAUUGUUUGCAUCAAGUGCUACAUAAUUCUUAUGACGAGAAAGAUUCUAAAAAAACAGCUCCAUUGUUAGCGUGUGGCAAGCCAAUCGCUUAAGCUUGCAGCAUAAGUAAAGUCCCCCAGCUGCCUAAAAGAUAAACAUUUGUUCCUGAUUUGCCUGUCCAGCAUCUUUACUAAUGCUUGAACUGAGAUCGGAGUUGCCCCGUGCCGUCUAUCGUUUCUCUCACGCCAUAGAGUAUGUAUGGUGAUCUGAAACGCAUAUCGUGUAAGAAAGGUGGUGAUCAUACCAAGACUGUUGUCAAGCGUGAGCUCCAACACUUCUGUCCAUAGUGUUGUGUAUCGAGUACGCAGCAAACCUCUCAUCAGCUGAGACCAGACAGCAGCCGAGUAAGUGCAAGAGAAAAAUAUAUGAUCCCUAGUUUCAAACUGGUUACAGAAGAUACAUGCCGAGCUAACUCCUGCAUUCCACUGAAGCAUACGGUCUCCUGUUGAGAGCCGGUUGUGUAGAGCAAGCCAUGUGAAGAAUGCAAACUUUGGAGUAUGAUGUUUGAACCAGAGACCUUUGCACCAUUCAACUGUGGUUCCUUCCUGAUGGAGUAGAUUCCAUGUAUUUUUUGUAGUAAAGACAGACUUGUAUGUAUCAGAAGAACUCUUCCAGAUAGAGUAGUCAGCCGCAUUUGUUAGAUUACUCCUCUGAUGCUCCAGAACAGCCUCAAUACUAUUGAAAAUCUCACUGCGAUGAUUUCGCCGGCGUCGUUGCAGAGCCGAAGAGACAGUCGCAGUCAAGCGGAUACCCAUGUCAAUACAACCUCGGGCCCCCGUGAGAUCAAAUAGACAUCCUAGUGAAGACCAGGAGUCAAACCAGAAAGAUGUUUGAUUACCAUCACCUACCUUCUUGCGAUGAAAUUUUUUUGCAAUGUCUCUGUAUUUUAAAAGCUUCCGCCACAUCCAUGAACCUGCAGAAGUUGUGUUUUUCACUGUCCAGAAAGUGUCUCUUUUAAGCAAGUAUGUAUGUAUCCAUUUGCUCCACAAAGAAGGUUGAGCAGAGAGUAAUCUCCACACCAGUUUCAGACAGAGCACCUUGUUCAUUUCCUUGAGUGAUCUAAGGCCCAGACCUCCUUCUUUCCUUGGUAAGCACACAACAUCCCAUGAUACUUUCGCUUUCGUUGUGAUUAGAGAAGGUCCUGACCAUAAGAAAGCUGAGCAGAGACUAUCAAUCUCCUUGAUACAUUGACUCGGCAGCUUGAAACCCGUCAUCCAGAAGUUUACAAUACUCAUCAGUACUGAACGAAUGAGCUGCAGUCUCCCAGCCAUGGAGAGAAACCGGUUUGUCCACGUAGAGAUACGGCUCUUGAUCUUUUCAAUAAGCACUUGAUAGUCAGUCGCACGCAUCUGUCUAGUAAGCAACGGUAGACCCAAAUAGCGCACCGGUAACGUACCCGAAGCAAAUUCAAACCGGUUUAUCAGCUCUUCUCGUUCUUCCUCAGAUAUUCCAGCAUAAUAUAUUGUUGAUUUCUCCAUACUUAUCCUUAGGCCAGAUAUUUUCGCAAAGUAAUCAAACACAUCCACUAUACUUUCAAUUGAUCUUACUCUCCCAUCCGUAAAGACCAUGAUAUCGUCCGCAAAACUUAAGUGUGUGAGGCCCAAGUUCUUACACUUAGGAUGAUAACCGAGUUGAUGUCUUUGGGCAGAUCUGUCGAGAAGCUUUGACAACACAUCCAUGCAUAUGACAAAGAGAUAUGGUGAAAGGGCGCAUCCCUGUCUUAAACCCCUCUCACUUUGGAAAUAUCCAGCAAGCUCACCAUUCACCUGAACCGAAAAGGAUGCCGUGGUGAUACAAAGAGAAAUCCAAUGAAUAAAUUGAGCUGGAAAAUUCAUAGCCUCAAGAGUUUUCAAGAGAAAACUCCAUUGAACUGAAUCAAAAGCCUUGGAAAUGUCAAUUUUCAAAGCACACCGCUGAGAGAUCGAGUCCUUAUGAUAGUCUUUCACCAACUCAGUAGCUAGUAGGAGAUUCUCAAUAAGUAGCCUGCCUUUUACAAACGCAGACUGGUUCAAAGCAAGAAAAUCUGGAAGAGUGUGCUUCAGUCUGUUUGCGAUGAGUUUGGAGAUGACUUUAUAAAUAACAUUACAGCAAGAGAUCGGACGGUAAUCUCUUCCAAAUCAUGUUCAUUUUCUUUUCUAACAGUUUAACAUUUCCUAACCAUUGUUAAAAAAAACUGUGAUUAAUUUAUUAUCGUAUCUAAAACUAAUGAAAGUGGGCUCUAACAAAGUGGCCAUGUGCGACUGCUCAAAAAGUCUCUUAACAGAUUCCUGAAUCCUCUUCAUUGUAUUAUUAAUUAACACACCAAAAAAAUCUCCUAAUCAAUCUCGUUUAUUUAAUUAUAUGUCUCAUCUCGAGAAACAGCGUCGCCCAUGUGUAUUUAUAAUCACGUAUCUUUAAACUAUAGUAUCAAUGAUGAUGUAAUGUACCCAACUUGAAACAGAUAUAUAUAUAUAUAUAUAUUAAAAUUACCAUGUUAUGAGGCUGAGGAGUGAGGAGUGUAAUAAUUGUACAUGUUUUGGUCGUAGUAGCUGUCCUGACGAGGACACUCAGCGGCGGCUGCCGUGGCAACCGAAUCAUCUCCUUCGUCUUCAUCCAUUUGACACUCCAAAUUCACACCAAAAAGCCUCACCGUCCUCGAGCUCCCGACGGCGGAAGACGAUGGUAUGAAGUGCGUCUCCGUCGCUGUUGCUACGGCGGCGCCUGUAAUCUCGACACGUGCACUUCUUUAAUUUAUUUUAUUUAUUUUUUUGAAACUACACUUCUUUGGAAAGAAACAAAGACAAGAACAUAACUAAACAAAAAUCACGUUUCUCCCAUGAGAUUGGACGGUCUUCUUCACGCGCUCUUACAUAAAAAACUUGGAGAUAAUAAGUAAUAGAAGCUGUCGGGUCUUUUUAAAAAUUAGAAAGCAAAAUAAAAUAAAAUCAUUGCUGUAUUAUAGAAACUCAGGUUGUUAAUACGCACGUAAUAGGCAGUAUAUCGUGUACAAAAUAAAAAUAAUUAUCAUACACAAUUAUAAAAAAAUUUAUAAACAUAUAAAUGAAUUAGGUGUUUACUGUUGUAAUCCUCCCGACAACAUAAGAUUAGUUGAUGAUACUGAACACCAUUAAAUAAAUUAAAGUUAAUACGGUAAUAAUGAGAAUAAUACUUAUAACAUACCAUAGUGGGAAUACUCUGAGUGAGCAGGACGAUUAGAGUAAUUACUAUACGGUGGAGCAGUCAUGGAACUAGAAUACGACGUCGUAUUCGCGGCGGAGGAGGAGCCUUGACCGCGUCUACGCCAGCCAAUAAAGAGUCUCCGGGAAUCAGAACGUUGACGUUGGAAGAAAACAACAUCGGCUGGGUCGAGCUGUUUGUCUUUGACGUAUCUGCUCCAUCCUUUAGUCAACACGUAGCUUUGACUGCUGUUCCAGUAAGAGUAUCUGAACCUCCAGCACUUGCCUGACUCGUCUUCGAAGCUUAGAAGCAUCCCUUUCUCCUCAGCAUUAUUGGAGAUGAUGGUGUUGAGAGGGAAGUACUUCUCCGCGUGCUGUUUUGGUAUAACGAGACGGUUGAGUUUGCCAACGUCGCUUGGUGUGAGAGAUUUCUCGAAGAGAUACUCUUUCUGGUCUUCGCGGAGUGAUGUGGCGGCGGUUGUGGUUGGCUCCGAUGUGUCGGUGGUGUGGAGGUUCUGCAAGAAGAGAGUGUGGUGGUGGUGGACCUGGUGGUGGUCCGUGGAGUAAUGGUUGACUGACAUUUUUAUCAAUGGGGGAGAGCGUAGAGAAGGUUAGGUGAAAAAGAGGUGGGUACUCGUUGUACUAAUAUAGUAUGAUACGAAGGAGAGUGGGGGUAAAAAAAAAUUGACGUGAAAACUUUGGCAAAACUAUUUGAGGAGAGAGCAGCACACGACAACCAGACGACUUUCUUUUAAGGUUUUGCGUGAUGUUUUAUCUUUUUCCAUCAUUAUUACUUUUUUUCUACUACUUACAGUAUUUUUAUUUAUUCUAUUUGUCUCUCUCUAUCUAUCAUUAUAGAUUUAUAUCAUGAUAGUUGAUAGUGGUAUUUUUCCUGAACACAUUGGAUUCCAUGAUGAUCACUUCAAUUUUAUUUAGAUCUUUUUAUAGGAAAGGUUGAACAUUUUAUUUACAAUAUAUAUUAAUCUGCCAUAACUUUCAGGGAUAUGAAAAGAAAUCCUCAGGUGAGGACCAGGUAGGUGAUUAGGAAGAGGGUGAUAUAUACAAGAAAGAAGAACUAAAAGGUUGUUUUUAUAAAAAGAAAAGGUUAAGCUACACGAAACCCCAAAGAAUCAUCCCAUAUAGAGGUAGAGAAGUAUCUGAAUAGCGAAUAUUUGAAAACAAAAUGCAAUUACUGGAAGAAAAAAAAAUGAAAAUGUCAUAAUGUCACUUUAUCUAUAACAUCUUGGGGAAACCAUUAUGUUCUUUGCGUGUUUCUCAAAAUGUUCCCAAAAUAAGAGAACAAAGAUAUGGUCCUUGAUAUUUGACGCAAUUCAUAGACAUCAUACUCUUAUACGCAUUUUAUUAGUAAAAGCUAGACGUAAAUUCACAGUCAAUUGUGAUAUAUACAUAUGUUUUGGUAGUGUUGUUCAAUGCACUAACGUUAGCAUUCGCAAUCUGUGUUAGAUUUCACGUAAUUUCUAUUUAUUUUCGGCGUUGGCGAACAAUUGAAGUUGGCAUUGGCAUUAGCAAUGCACUAGUUUUUCUUAACAAUUGCACUAGUAUAUGCAGUUAUGCACUAGUAUAUAACAAGUUCGAUACAAAUUUUUGUUUGUUUUUUAAACGUUGCGUACGUGUACUAUAUUUGUUUAUCGAAUCUAUUUAAGGCAAAUAAAAAAUGAGAAACGAUUGGGAGGUCUAAGAGGUACAUAGGAGUAAAAGUCUGGCAGUAUAGCUGCCAAAAAUAUUAUAAAAACUACUGUAUUAGGACGAGCAUUUUCGAUCUUCAGCUCAGUCGAGAAGAAAAAACAACAUUUUAAAUAACUAGUAUUCAUAAUUUUUAUUUUAUGUUUUUACAUAUAUUUACUCCAUCCAUCUACCUAACCCCUGCAAAGGCUAAUAUAAUAAAUUAAAUAAAAUUAUUGCAUUUAUCAAUUUGAUUAAAUAAAAUAUAUUCUGCAUGACAUAGUUUUGGAAGAUAACAAACCCAAUCUAAAUUCUUAUUGAAAGGUUGGAGAACUUUUUCUUUUGGGAGACUAAUGUAGUUGAUAUAAAAAAAAUACAGUAUAUAGUAGAUUUAAAUAUAUACCUGUUGAGCAUUUUAUAAGUUAUGAUCAAUGGGUUAAAAAUGAGAGGAGAGUAGUCGCAAAUCCACAAAGAACUAAGAAAGAAUUAGAAACAUUUUUUUUGGUCAACAAAGAAUUAGUAACUUAAAAACUGUAAUAAUAAUAAUAUGGCGUGGGACCAAAGAGGAUGACGGAAGCAAGAUGAAGGAAGAAAGAGGUCCAACGGCUGAGAUGGCGUCUGGAUAUUUUCACACAUAAAGUAAAGAGUAACUUGGUUGAGCAUGUGCUUUGCCUUUCCCACACACCAGUCCAUGCAUUCAUCUUCAAUUCUUCUCUCCUUAUCUUAUGUUCCUUUUAUUCCCCGGAGAUUAUUGAGCUACAAAACGCUAUAAAUUUCACAUGUUUCAUUUUUGGAUAAUUUUGUGCUCUUGCAGUUAACCUAUAUAAAUAUGCGAAAACAAAUAAUAAUGGGCGUUGUUUACAUCUUCCCUAAUAAUAUAGGUGUAAUACUCGCAAAUGUUUUGUUUUUUUUUACUAAGUACUCGCAAAUGUUGUUAUAUGAGCAAAUUGUUUUUCCUAGAAACCAUUCAUCAAUGACAGCAACUAUAUGAGCAAAUUGUCUCUCAACGAGGAGAAAAAGACAUGAAGAAAUCUGCGAUGAAUAUCGUGGAGGGUGUCUAUAACCUACAAAUAUCUUUAUUUAAUUGUCCAUAAACGACAAUCUUCAUUUGUUAUUUUUGGAAAGUGGUGCAAGAAGCUUCACUGAGCUUCGAGUAAGUUGCUAUUUUCUAUUCUUAUUAUACAUAUUUGUGACAUUUUCUCACUUCCCUAGUAAAAUAGCACACUCUCUUUAUAAGUCUGUCCACAAAAUUGUUCCCUUUUAGUUGCAGUAGUAUAAUACUUCGUACUAAUAACGGAUCCACUAGCUAAUUGACCUCGUUCAAGUUGAAACCAAUAGUGUGUAUCUUACAUUAUACAAAUAUGUUAUAGGUAUACGUUGACAGGAAUCGAGGUAAAGUCAUUAAUAACCUAUAUUUUGUAUAAUAUCAUAUUUUAACAUAAAGUAAUUCUAUUAUAUAAUAACGUUUACUUUAAAUAGUAUUAUUCUAUAAUAGAGUUAUUUUAUUUUAAUAUAAAUUAUAAAUGGAAAACUAAUGUUCAAUUAGAGAUGCUCGGCUUGAUGACGUUCAUAACUGGAUGUUAAAAAAAGAGAGACGUUCACAAGUGUGAGUUUUGGGUAUAGUUAUAGACUUGUACAAAAUUAUAACAUAUACAAUAAUUUUUUGGGUGUAGUAGAUGUGCUGGAACAUAAAUAUACUUAAUAGAAUAAGUUAAAUUUUAUGCAAUAUAUAUUAUAUACACUAAAUAAUAUAAGAAAAUUAAUAUAAAUGUCAAAUUUUAAAAGAAAAUAAUUAAUGUUUAUACAUUAAAAUAAAAUAUUUAUUUUAUUUUAAAAUAAAUAUAUCUUAAAUUUAAAAAUCUAAAUACAAAUUUUUUUUGUAAAUUAAUAUAUCUAUAAAUUAAUAAAUUUUAAAGUUUCGAUAUUAUUAAUUUAUAGAGGUUCUGCUAUAUAUGUAGGGUGGAUGAUUGUUUUUACUAAAUGUACAGUGGAUGUUUAAAGUAAUUAAUAACAUAUAUACAUAUCUUUAUAUAAUAAUGUACUGAUCUCAAAGAAGGGGACCAAAGCUUGCUGCAUUUUCUUUUUUAAUUCUCAAGCAAAACUGGCCUGGAAGAGUGAGCGGACCACACAUUUUCCCACUUUUUCUAUCUAAAAAUAAACAUUCAUCUACAUUGUUCCACACUAAAGUUUACAGCCGAUUUCCUAGACUUAAACAGUUAGCCCAUGGAUAUUAAUUUCAAGUUGUGAAUUUAGAAGGCAUCAAAUUCCAAUAUUUGGAGACAGGAUCAUAGAGCACAGCUAAUAAAUUCUCCACCCGUUCCUAAAAAAUCUACUAUGUUUUAGAAUUUUCACAUUUUUUGAUAAAACAUAUUAAUAAAACUUAGCUAUAAAUACAUAUAUUUUUGUAAUUUUAUAUUUCCUAUAUUUUUUAACUAAUAAAUUUUUUAAAAAUGCAAUUAAUGUUCUUGAACUUCACAAUGUCUCAUUAUUAGUUGACAAAAAUUACAUUGAAAAUAUAAAAUAUAUACAUUUUUGAAACAAAAUUUUUCUUUAGAAUAUAGAUCUUUUAGGAACAGAAAGAGUAGUAGUAAUAUUAAAUAGUGAAAACAAACAUUAAUGAAUAAAUUAGACAUUAUAUUUUUUUUUAAUAUAUUGAAAAUUAUAUCUAAGGCUUAGAUAAUGGAACGAUUGUGUAACAUUUAAUAUCGAUUUUUCACAAGGGUUAGCAACUUUAGCCGAGUACUAAUAAUACACCCCCCAAACAUUGGAUAUCUCGAUUAGCCAGCUCUGUCCCCUCCAUUGAGUUAAACCAGUCGAGUGAACCGGCCCAUAUAUGCCAUUAACAAACUUAAUGGGCCAUUCGCAGAGUACACUUAACAGGCCCUUCCCUUGAAGAGUGGGCUUCAUGCAAACUAUCAAUUUACUAUUUCACCCUUACUUCACCAUCUGAUCCAUCAGAAUAAAACCUUAACCCUACUCUCCGCCGUCAUCAGAACCGCAAGCAGAGAGGCGAAAAGAUGGGACGCGUGCGCACGAAGACGGUGAAGAAGUCCUCUCGCCAGGUGAUCGAGAAGUACUACUCUCGCAUGACGCUCGAUUUCCACACGAACAAGAAGAUCCUCGAGGAAGUCGCGAUCAUUCCUUCGAAGCGCCUCCGCAACAAGAUCGCCGGAUUCUCCACUCAUCUGAUGAAGAGGAUCCAGAAGGGACCCGUCCGCGGGAUCUCCCUCAAGCUCCAGGAGGAGGAGCGCGAGCGCCGCAUGGACUUCGUCCCCGACGAGUCCGCCAUUAAAACCGAUCGCAUCGAGGUCGAUAAGGAGACGCUGGACAUGCUUGCCUCCUUGGGGAUGGGAGAUUUGCCAGGUGUCGUCAAGGUGGAGCCGGUCUCGGCUGCCCCUAUCGCAGGCUUUGGCCGUGGAAGGAGGUUCUAGAAGAAUCGAUCCUUUAAGUAUCUUUUCGUAUGUGUUUGUUUUGCUGAACGUUGAAUGUUCUUAUAAGCUUUAAUGUUAACAGUUGGUGAAUGCUUCGUUAGAGAACUUAGGUUGGUAGAUCAUCUAUUAUUCGUUGAACUAUAUAUAAUCAAUCUGCACACACACACUCAGACAUUGUGGAUGCAUUAUGGUUGGAGUGUGUGAGCACUAUCUUCUGAAAUCCUCAUAAGGCAUCUCUUUGUUAGAACCAUCAUCGAGUUUUGUUUGAGAAAGAAUCGGUAUUGAAGAAUGCAACCACCGUCUCCUUGAUUCCGCAUCAGUUCAACACACUCUUGAAGAUCACCACCACGACCAACUCUAAAUCGGACCUGAAGACAUACUAGAAUGUCUGAGACAGCACAUCUAAUCUGAAAAUCUCAGUUCAAAUGUCUAUAGUAUAGGAUGAGUUCUUACCUAGAUCAAGAGACCAAAACCUUAGCAAUAUCAAACAUCCUUUCUCCUUGAGAACCACUGAUACCAGAAUACACCUGAGAAUCGAAUCCAGCAUACAUAUUGUUUUAAUAGUCAAAUUGGAAGUAUUGAUCCCUUCUAGUUUAUAAUGCCAUAUAGAGAGUGAGAAGAGUAGCGGAACACACUUUACAAAUUCAUUCAUAAGAUCUAGAAUUUCUCUAGACUAUUAUUGGUUUAGAUGGUAGUUGAAUAGGUAUCAGUCAAAAUUAUAUGAUAUCUAACAAUAGACAUAACUGAGAGCUUGAGGUCCACCUACAUAACUGGUUAUUCAUAAACAACUACCAAAUUUGACUACCAAACACUGGACUCACUUGAAACCCUUCAUGGGGGUUUAUACUUACUCCCAACUCUCAUUUCAUCCUCAAUAGGAUAGCAAAUCUGAUAUUUUUAAAAAAUAUUAAUGGGUAGGUUUGAAAUUGAAAUAUUUAUUCUUUUGUCUCCCUCUCAUAAGACUUUUAAUAAAGCUAAGGGCAGGAAGGUGGUUUCACUUUAUAUAUUUGCCUGUAUUUGAGGUUCUCUGUACCAAUUCUGGUGUGUUGCCAUUUAAGUUUGUUUGCUUUUCUUUAAUUUCAAUUAAAUUUCUUUGACUGUACAUUUUUUACUUUUGAAAUUAUGAGUUUAUUUAUUUUCAAGUUUUUAUUAUAGACAUCUAAUUCAAGUUGGUUGCCAUUUAAUUUAUUGGUUACAUAUAUUAAUUCCUAUAAAGAAAAUAAAAUAAAAUAAAUAAUGGUAGUCUGUUGAGUAUUUAAUUUGCCAUUAAACACCUCUCUUGUUCUUUCCCUCCUUAGGCAAUUAAUUAACCAUCUAAUAGUGUAUACUUCAGUUCAAACUUUAUGGUUUUCUCUCUCACUCAUAAUUAAAUUAAGCCUUAAUGAACAAUCUAUCUCUCUCUUUCUCUUUUAAGUUUACUAGGGGUUGGUCCGCCCUACGGGCGGAUGAAUUUACACUAAAACUAUUUUAUAUUUAAAAUAUAUUUUAAUUUUAUAUAUAAUUUUAAAUUUACUUUAUAUUGAAAUAAUUAAAUAUAAUCUUUUUAUUCUGAGAUUAUAUUGUAAAUUUUGUUAAAUUUAAUUGGUUUGAAUUGAAAAAACCACUAAUAUAUUUAUUAGAGAACAAAAAGUAUUAAAUUAGAAAAUAGAAUAAUUUAUAUUUCUCCAUUUGAUUUGUGUUUCAAUUUGAUAUAACUGAAGAAAAUUUAAAGUAAGAAUGAGUAAUAUUUUUUAUUUUAAGAGUAUCUGAUUCUAAUAUUAUUAUAACAACUAAUUUCUUACGUUAAUAAAUUAAUACACCUACCUCUAAGCUAAAUCCAUUGAAACUUAAAUGUAAUUUGAUGAAAUUAUAAAAAGUUAUAUUUUAAAAUAAUAUGUAUAAAUUGUUUCAAUAAUGUCUUAGUAUAUAUUAUGUAACAAAAAAUGAUGUUCUUUUAAUAUAUGUUUGUUUCAGUUUAUAUUAUAUUUUCAAUUUAUAAUGAAAUUUUAAAUUUUCAAACGUCAAAUUUAAGGAUUAGAGAAAGUGAUGCAAGAAAAUAUUACUUAUAAUUUGUUUUAUUUACUAUAAGUCACAAACAGUUUUUGGAAAGUGUCAACAAAUGUAUGUUCGAUCUUAAAGAACAACCCAAAUGUAAUUCUAUAUAUGCUCGUAUUAUAAAGCACGAUACUUUAUGCAUUAUGGUUUUAUUUCGUUGAUAAAUUUGGUUAACCUUUAAUCAGAUAUUUGUGCCUCAGUUGGUUUGGAAUUUACAUGAUUUUAUAAAUUUUGGAAUAAGGUUAUUAACCUAAAAGGAUAAUUAAAGUUUAAGCUGCAUAAAUAGUGAUAAUAUCCAAUCCAAGAAAGCGGUAAGAGUUAUAAUCUAUAAUAAUAAGGCCAAGUUGAAAUCUUAAAGAAAAGGAACAAAUUGCAUUUAUAGCUUAAACAUCCACCGAAACAAAGAGAUUAAAUUAAAAAUGUAAAAGAUAUUAGAGAGUUCAAAUUAUUAGGGAAAACUAUGAUAAAGCAUUAUUUGAUAAGCAAAGCGGUGGGAAAUUGUUUAAUCCAAGUUGGUCUACUCCUGACGUGCCUUCUUCUUCAUGCUCUCACCGUUUGAUGGUGCCACAUCUUUUGCCAACUCUGCAACAUCUCCAUUGCCAUCGGGUCCAUGGUCAUCCCUCUCGUGCUCAGUUAUUAUGCAUGAUACAGUGAAGGUUUGCUGUUAGGAAGUGAAGUUGAACUCGCCCAACUUGAGCUGGAAAGUGAAGUUGAAAUCGCCCAACUUAAGCUGGAAACUGAAGGCUUUACCAACUAUUUGAUCCAAAAAUAUAUUUGAGCUUUCUUUCUUAAGCAAUCAAAUCUUUUGAGAUAGCUUAUCUUAGUGGUCAAGGGCUGCUAAUACAGUGUGUAAAUUAAUUCAGUACUCCGUUCUCCCACUCGACAAUUACAAUAUUUUAAACUGAUGCACUUCUCUCAUAAUACAAAGUGUAUUUUCCCCAUGUUUAUGUCUUUUAUCAUCCUUAUUUACGAUAGCAAGUUGUUACUUGUUAGCAUCCCAUGUGUAAAAUGUAUGAAGUUGGAAAUGCCACCGAGAAGCCGCAGAGGAGCCUGAAAUGGAACGAAACAGACGUUUCUAUAGAUGUGACACAAAGAGGAAGAAGUGGCGAAGCUCCCCUUCUUUGAAAAUCUGAAUCAAAAUCAAAUCCCCAGCCAUUAAAAGCAAUGUGAGAAUGCUGAAAAUGUAAAGCACGAAACUGAUGGUUGUCAAUUUAAUCAAGUUUUUAGUUCUUUAUUUAUGGACAGCAAGAGUUUUCCAACCCAGGUACACAAACAUACAUCUCUGAACAAACAACAACACAAUCUAAUCAGCUUAAAAAACGGCUUGUGAUUAUAGUUUUGUUGUAUGUGCUUAUCAAAGUUAUAAAAGAUAGUAGGACUUACAUUUUUCUCCAUCAACUUCAGAAAUAAUUUCAUUAAGGUCUCUUCCACCAUUAAUGUCCCUCAGGGACUGCUCCAGGGCUUCCAUUGUGAUAUAUCUGGAAACGGAGACCAUGAUUUGUUGAACUGGUUUUACCUAUAAUAAAUUGUUAUGUGAUAAUUACUGUACUUACCCACUGUUGUCUUUUUCAAAGCGUUGGAAGGCUGAGAAUAUUCUUUAUAGAACUCCCUACUUGCAAGAGUACCAGACGUAGCGUUUUGCUUGGCCAUUGGUGGUGCUUUUGAUCCGCCUAGCAUGUCCUCGUUCUUAUUUAUUCUUUCACUUUAACUAUCGAGUAUGUUGAUGUGCAUUGUUCCGUUACCGUCUCCAUUAGCCUAUAUAAGACAGGGAAAAUCAGUUCUUUUGGCAUCUUAAUAUUAAUAUAAAGAUAGCACUCUGCAGGAAAAGAAUAGAAUUUUAAACCCUCAUAAAAUCUUUUUUUUUUUUGAACACACCCUCAUAAAAUCUAGUAGUCAAUAACAAAAGGUUUCUUGACAUGUUCCAAGCAAUCUUAAAAACCCCACCGUUUUGCAGCAAAAGAGUCCACCAAAGCGCAUAUUUUCACCAAAUACAUGAGAGCUUACACAUGGGAAAAUGACCACAAGAUUUCCAUCGGCAGAGCCACACCAUAGAAAACGGUCUGUGGCUCUCUGGUUGGAUCUCGAAAUACUUUACUCUCCUAAUCAUAUUUACCAAUUUCCUUCAAAACUCAGAAAUGUAUAUUUGACAUGAAAUCUAAACCAAAAAUAUAAUAUGAGAGGUUACAUUGCAAACAGAGAAGGAGAUGCGGUCUAACCUGGAUUUCUGAUGAGUAGUUGUGAACCUUUUCGUACUAUUUCUGAAGUUCAGGAUAUCGUAUUUUUCUGCGGACCUUUACUUUGUGUCUUACAUGUGAUUAACUGUAAACAGAAACAUAGAAGAUAGUAAACCGCAGCCACCAAUCAGGAAUUUUUGUAAGGUAAUGAACAAAUAGCUUUUCAAAGAACUCUAGCUCUAACAUGUUCUUGUGCUUCGCUGGCCCUCGCCGUAAUUAUGGUCAUCUUGCAGCAAACUAUUAUGAUAGAAACUAUCUAGUAGCUUGCUUACUGAGACACAAAGUAACUGGCAUCAAAUAUUUUCCAUCACUAUACAGAAACCAAAUAAAAGGGUUUUUUACAAUUCUGUUCUAAAAUUAACAACCUGCAACUAAAAGAUUACAUCAGCACACAAAAGUUACAGCUUUUUAAUACAGGACUAACACCUUAAGUGAAUCACCAGCGACUACUUUUUCUUAAUCAUCCAACCCCACAACAAAUUGGAACUUUGUUUUGUUAAGAGAUUUGUAAUAAUUGACAGACGACCAAAUAAUUUGUAUUUACAGAUCAGACCAAGCUGAUUUCAUCAAUCAAACUACUCAUCGCGGAAAUUUCACUACACAGACUCGUUUCUUUUUUUUCACAAAGUUAUUGAUUCAAACGUCAUAGUUAAGCUGAACGUAAUUGGGGUGAAAAUGGUACCUGGGAGAUAAGUCACCAGCAGCAACUUCUCUCUUCUGCGCUUCUGCUUCAACAGCAUCUCAAGGCCAAUUAGGAGGCCUCCUGUCACAAUGUUUAGGGUUUCUUCAUAUUCACGUCCAGGAAGAACGUCGUUGAGAAAAGAGAGAAGUCGGAGCCGUCGAUGAUGAUCCGUCUUUGAAUUGGCUAUUGUGUUUGCUAGGAGUCGCAGCCGCCAGUUUUUUCCCGUUUUUUAAUGGGUAAAGGGAAACUGAGAUAAGGUUAGAGUUUCAUGCUGGAAGAUGAGAGAGACGAAGAGUCGAAACAAAGAUAUGAAUAUUAGCUGAUUUGUAUAUUAGAAUGAGCUGGCAAACACUGAUUGGCUUGAAUAUUUAAUCUGACGUGGAUAGUUUAGAAUUGGAGGAUAUCCAACUUUUAGUAUAGUAUAGAUGUCUGUGUUCUUUCUUGUAUAUAAAGACCUAAGCUGAAGCAACCCAACCACCAGUGAGAAGAGAGACUCUUUGUGAUUGAAGUUGGAAAAGUCUUUGAGAUCACGGAAAACACUCCCUCUCAAUCCGCAGGUUUCAAGGUAUUUUUUUUCUCCGACCAAACUCAUUUUAACUUAAUCUCUUCUUGUCUGAAAUAUUUUUUCUCUAACUUAACACAGAAAGAUGAGUCGAAGAAGUCCAAAGCCCGAGCUGAAGCUGAAUCUUUCGCCGCCUACGUCAAGCAGGAGGAGGGUUGUUCGAUCUCCAAGCCGCUCUGCGACAACAUCACCUACGUCACCGCAAAGCUCGUGUGUCUCUUCGGAGAUGAACCAGGACGAUCAGUCUGUGAGGUACUCGACAAGUCCAGAGACAAGCUCGAUGGUUCUUGUCGGGUGUCCUCGUUGUCUCAUGUACGUUAUGCUCUCACAAGACGACCCUAAAUGCCCUAAAUGCAAAAGCACCGUUCUUCUUGAUUUCAACCAUGAAAACGCCUCAAACGCCAACGCUCCAGCCGCUUCUUCCUCUGGUCGCAAGACUCGGAGGAACUGAAAAGACCAGUAAAACCAAAAAUCGUUUUUGGUUCAAACAUCCAUGUCUUUUUUAUUUAGUUAUUUAUCCUUUUUAUCUUUGCGAAUGUAGCUGUUGUUUAUGAGAGUAGUGCUAAUCACGCUCCACUUUAUAAACUUGGAGAAGAAGGUAAGUAAGAGAUGAAACUAGGGUUUUCAUACUCACAAAACUUCAAAUAAAAAAGGGUGGAGCGUGAAUAGCACUAUCUUUUCUUUUUCCUUAACAUUUUUCUACCAUUUGAGGGUUAUCUAAUGGAAGAAGAAUAUAUAUGUACGUGAAAAUGUGUGUCAUUGUCUCCGUAUUCUACUCCUGAGUCUUAUAAAUCGUUUCAUCCAUCAAAGUUAUGGCAACCCUCGUAACGGAACCGAUGACUUAUAUUCCAAGGCUGCAACUGGAAUGACAUUUUUUGGAAUAAAAUCAUUUGGAAUGGAUCAUUCCAUGGGAUUCCAUAAAUUAGUUACCAGUUAUUAUGAAUGUUUUCCAAAAUCAAUUCCAUUUAUUCCAUUUUUGGAAUGGAACAAAAAAAUAAAUCCUUUGUAAAAAUCAUUCCUUUUAUUCAUGACUCUAAACCUCCGUGAAUGAAUGGAAUGUAUGGAAUCUUUAUUCCAUUUAUAAUUUCAGUUUUUAUUCCAUUUUUAACAUCAUUCCAAUUUUUUCUAUUCCAUAAAAAAUCAUUCCUUUUUUUCUAUUCCAUAAUAAAUCUUUUUUGGGUACUCUGCCUCUCAUAUGUAUAAGAGAAUUGUACUUGUUGAAAAAGCAGUUCAGAUGAGUGAAAAAAAGAAUGGUUAGAGAUCAGACGAGAACUUCUUAUUUGGUGGCCACCUUGGUAACUUUGGCCUCAUACACAAAAAUUCCCUUGUUUUUCAUGUGUUUUUUUUUUUAAUUUUUAUGUUAACUCAAAAGAACCCAUAACAAUAUUUUUGUCCUCAGCAAUUGCAUGUUUGAUUAAAGACAAAAAAAAAAGCAGACAAACCUAGGACGGGAGUUUGCAAAUGGCAAAAACAAUUAUCAGGGAAGAAAAGUGAUAAGAUGUAAUCUUUUUUUUUCAUUUAUAAUUAGCUAAACAUAGUUAGAUACUUUAGAUUAGGUGUUUCUGAGCAUGCAACGUGUAAAAUGCUAUGAUUGUAGAAUCUAUACAAAAAUCUGCCGACGAAGUACAAACAAGUAAAAAAUGAAAACUGGUUAAAAUCGAAGAGGAAAGUAGUUCAGAGCAUUUAAAUAAAAUCAGAGGAAGGUGCAUCAGUUUGUAUAUAACAGCUGUUCAAAUUGUUAAGAUUUAAAGAUCAUUAAAACCAAAAUAUAAAUGCAAUAGUAAUUGAGACAGUUGUGAAUUGUAAUGAGCGUUACGUCAGAUUAUAAAUACGACUUUAAUUUCACCUUCAUUGCUCUCUUCUAGCUCACCUCUUCAAAGAACGAAACAAUAAUUAUAUUCAUGAUGAUGCUGCGAAUUUUAUUUCAUUUCUCUACUUCUUAACUUUUUUUUUAUUUCUCUUCGUCAUUACACUACUUGGCUACUUGCCAUGUCUUCAAAAGAACUCCAUUUCUCUUCUUAUCAUUCACUAAAUGCCACCUUUCUAUUGCCGUGUUCCCUUAAUUCAAUGCUUGCUUCCUACCUCUCAUUUUCUCAGUUAUGCCCGAUCAUUUGAUUAACAUUCUACUUUCAUAGAGUUUAUAAACCCCACACAGAACCAAACUAGUUUGAUGGUAUUAACUUCAUUAGGUUAGUGGAACUGACAUAUCAUAUCAUCAACCAAAAUAUAUAAUUUUCUCAUUUCUGAAGAGAAUUAUUAGAGAGCUCGGACGUUGGGGAAUUUUGUAUUAGGCCGUUCUAGAAAAAAAAUUAAGAAGGGAACAAAAAUAUAUACUCUCUAUGAAUCAGUUAGACUUUAAAAGUUAAAAGAUUUUUUUUUUGCUAAGUUAGUUAAAGUAUUGUUGUUUGCACAAACGUUCUUGUUACAUCUAUAAGUUCCAUCAACUCUACUCUAAUAAACCAUCUAAUCAUAUUCAUGUUGUAUUGAUGAGAAACAUCCCACAUCGGAAAUAUAAGAAAUAAUCUACUACUAUAUAAAGGGUUAGGGCUAAUCCACUAAUUGCCAAUUGGUUUUGAGUUGGAAGCCCAUAAUUAAACCCGAAUCUAACAUGGUAUCAGAGCGAUAAGAUCCUUUGACUUAAUUUACUACAAUUACUACUACUAUACCGAUGUUGGGCCCUCUGUGGAUGUUAUUCCCACAUUGUCCACGCUUCAGACCUAGAUGUCUGAGCGUGAGGGAGGGUAUUGAUGAGAAACAUCCCACAUCGGAAAUAUAAGAAAUAAUCUACUACUAUAUAAAGGGUUAGAGCCAAUCUACUAAUUGCCAAUUGGUUUUGAGUUGGAAGCCCAUAAUUAAACCCGAAUCUAACAUGUUGGAUGUUAGAGAUGUGUAUAUGUGAGUUACAUGAUGACGAGAGGAGACAUGUGAGUGAUGAGAAGAUUAGAUUGGCGUUUGGAGAGUGGAAUACUAGAUUUGAUGUGGACCCCUUCGCAAAUAUGAGGUCCAUCAAAGAUAUUUGAGGACCGCUCGAAGAGGUAUUUGAUCACAGCGCAAAACUAUUAGAAACGUUCUUAUUCUAUCGCAUGCAAUUGCACGUCCACAAAUAGAAAGCAUGCAAAAUCUAUCCCACUCUUGAAUUAAUAUAUGGCCAAUUACCUUUAUUAGUUAUAGACUUUCUGAUUCUUAAGAUAUAUAUCAAUGCCAGGGCCGGCUUACAAGGAGGGACAAGCGGUGCGACCGUCCCGGGUCCGAGUCCGUGUCCCCCCGUGUAAUGAUAAAUAAGGGGCUCAAUUUUUUAUAAAUCUAUAUUUUUAUAUAUAAAAAAAAUUAUAAAUACAAUAAAUAAAAUUGAAAAGGGCCCAAAAUUAUUUGAUAUGUAUAUAGUUUUAUUUUCAUUAAAAAAUAUACAAAAUAUUAUUGAUUAAAUUUUAAAAAUAUUUUAAACAUUAUCUCUAUAUAAAUUUUAGAGCGUAAAUUUUUUUUUUUUGCCCAGGGACUUCUACCAGUGUUGAGCCGGCCCUGAUCAAUGCAUAUCUAGCCUAAUUAGUUACAAAUGUAUUAUUUAGAUAAGUAUCUCGACGUGUUCACUCCACAUCCGAAAGUGUUAAUCCCACACAAUUCGCCGUCCACGGGGUUUAUAUAUUUUGACUAGUCACAGUCGUUAUAUUUAUAUCUAAGAAAAAUUAGGUUUCAUCAUAAUCACUUAUCGACAAUUCAAACAUAUUAUUCAUUAGCGUUUGUGAUCACAUUUAGUGGUGGAGUACGGAGAAACGUACGUACAUUUUAUACUAUAGUUGAGUUUUCCGGAUAUUGCCGCUGCCUAAGCGUUAGCUUUCAUGUAUUGUUCUUUAAGAUGAUCGUUAACGUCUUUGCUACUAAUACCACACAGAAAAAACUUCACCCUUAAGAAAUUUGACCAAGCUAUAAAGAGGAUAUGUCAUAAUUUUAUUUCAAUGUUUUGUUUUCUUCUAAUUAAUUAUUUAAUUUAUUGCUUCUAUAAAUGCAUUAAUACUUUUUUUUGAAACUGUUUUUUAAAUGCAUUAAUACUUGAGUGGUUGAAAUCUAAUUAUGCUAUUCUUUAUUGUGAGUGCAGUACACAUUUAAACUGCAAUAGUUUUCUUUGUAUCUUCUAUAUUUUCUCAUUUUUUACGUACAUUUUUGUAUUGAUUUAAUAUGAAGAGCAAUACUGACAGGAUAUUAAACGUAAUUUGUUUUUCUUAAUUUCUUGCAUUACCAUUAUUAAUAAAAACAAAUACCAUGAAUAUUAAUGUAUAAAUUCAAGGAGGCAACUAUUCAAAAAAGUGAAGUCGAUUCUCUCUCUAUUUUAGAGAGAGAUAAUUUUCUCUCCAUCCCUUCUUAACAAUUUCAAAUCAUUCAGAAGGGGGAGAGAUUUAAUCGACUUUUUUGUAUGUAAUAUACUUUCGAUCUUUGAUCGAUUUUGAUUUUCGCUAGGCGACCUUGUAUUUUCGUUUAGACGAUUUUGUACUGUUUUCAAACCAAUUUCGAGUUCGUGCUUCAUGUUUCUCUUUGUACCCGAGUUGGUUUGAAUAAAUAAAACUCCGACCUUGUGUUGAUCGGAAGUUAAAGUCAGAGUUUCUUCUCCUUCUGUUUCGAUUAAUGUCUAUGCCGUUGGACCUAGAGAGCCGAUUCUCUUCUUUGUUAGAAAGCUUGGUUUUUGAUUUUGAGUUGGUAUCAAUCUUUGCUUCAUGUUUAGGCAAAGUAUCCAUGGGAAUCAAGAACUGAGAUUUGGAUAUGCUUUGGAGAAUUUGAUACAGAAUUCAGAAGAGUUGGAGCUGCCCUAUAGGGUAGUGUUCUGACAAAAUUCUGUUAUUGAUUCUACUGGAGCUUUCUCUGAACUCAUCUCUAACGAUUAGAGAAGAAGACUUUUGGUUCCUCGGAGUUUGAAGGAAGAAGAACAUACAAGCUUGUUCAAGCGAAUCGGAGGCAGAGACUGAAGGUUUGUCCGGCGAGGUUUCCGGCACCGCUUCUCGUUCCUCGAUUCUGAAGUAACGAAGCCACGUUGACGAGCACGUGUCCAUCAUGGAAGGAUCGUGAUCUUUAGUUGUUGGGUUUCGUUUUGGGCAUAAUAAUGUUAAUUGUAUGGGCUUGAAUUAGCUUGUAAAACUUGCCCAUUGGACUAAUAUAAAUGCAAUGGUUGACAAAAAAAAAAAAAAAAGGAGGAAACUANNNNNNNNNNNNNNNNNNNNNNNNNNNNNNNNNNNNNNNNNNNNNNNNNNNNAAAAAAAAAAAAAAAAGGAGGCAACUAUUCGCACGUGGCAGAGAAAUAGCUAAAAUUAUGAACUGUAAUAACCUUGUGAAUAUAAGUUCUUUAAUUUUUCGUAUUACCCACAUUUUUAAGAGUUCAUAAAAAACAUGCAUACCAUGGUAAACAUAUGUUCCAAGUUUUGAACAAGAAUUGAAUUUAAAUCUACAACAACCUAACAUCAAUUUCAGUUUCAUAUCUUCAAAACUUUUUGAAAUAAGCAGACCUGCGUCUAAUUGGGCGGCUGGGCCUAAUUCUACUUAGCAGUCCACAUGCUCUGGAGAAAUUUAUGGGCUUUUGUCGAUUCAACACUAACAAGCUGAAACAGUCUCUUCUUCCUUCCAUUGUCUUACAAGCAACAGGUUGGUCAAGCUUACAUUAUAGGAUAGGAACAUGGAUAUGUCUUGGAGACUUUAUGUAAUAAUAGACUUUGAAGAAUUCAAGAAAUCAAAAACUCUUUUCUUGAUAAUAUUUUUGGAUUCUGGUAACACUUUAUUAAUGUAUACAAACACUUGUGUUCAAACGUAUAGGGCAAGCUACUUAACAAUCUGAGGAAUACAGAUUGAUCGGACAAUCCAGUCAAACAUACGUUUCAAGAACUGUAUCCCGGCGGAGAAGUGGAGCCAUACGCGGCGGAGGAACUGAGAACACCCAGGCGAGUCAUCCGAUGAAGUCAACGCCGUUGGCUGGAGAUAAGACCAAGCGGCUUGCUUAACGAGUGGGUUGCGUAUCGAGAUAUCUCCCACGGUGGAUAAAACAGGAGAGCUGCUACCGUUAAUAGACGGUAAGUUGACGGAGGAGUUACUCGGAGAUGAGAUGAUAUCUCUGAGGGAUGUGUAAGAGGGUGGUUUCAGCGAGCUGAGCUCGAAAUGGAACGACGGAGAUGGAGUUUCUAAGGUGGUGAUCGCAGGUGUCGUCGUGGAAAUGGAGUUUCUACGGCGGAGUGGAGUCGCCGGAGAUGUUGACGGUAUCUCCAUAGUCUUCUCUUGUGUUUGUGGCUGAGUGGGUUUGUGUGUAAAUAUGAGGUCUAAUGUAAUCAUUGAUGUCUAUAAUGUAGACAUUUGUCAUUAUCUUUGGCUUAUAAUAGAGAAACGUUUACUUUCUUUGUAUUUUCUGAAUAAUUAUUGAUUGGAUGUGAGUCAUUCGCCGUGUAUGAAUGAUACCAUCCAAGUGUGUAUUUAGCUCAUAAUUGCAAAAUUCUUUUUAUGUAAAGUACUUUAUAUACAGACAAAGAUAUAUUAUAGAAGUGGGUGUGAAGAUUAGAUGAAAUAUAUUCGGAUAUCCAACCAACCAACGUAAUCAUUAUUUUCCUAAUACUUGAUUAGUAAUUGAUAUCAUAUAUACCCAAUGUAAAUUGAAAAUAUUUUUAUUUCCGUUAUUAAAGUAAGCUUCUGACGUAAUUAACUCAUCCAAUAAAGAAAUGCUAUGUUUCUUUUUUGAAAAUAAGAAAUGAUAUGUUUAUAUAACAUAAAUAUUUAUUACCAUGAUAAAGUCCUAUUGUUUGACUCACACCUAAAUGAAGGCAUGUAUUACCAAUGGUGCUUGAUAUAAAACAUGAUGAAUGUAUCGUUGGGCAAGUGGUUUAGGCCACCUGGUCUCAGAAGUUAGUCAAUUAGUAAGGAAUACUAGGCCGAUAUAAAAGGAAAAGAAAUAUAAUAGCAAAGAUCCUGACCCAGUCCACUCGCCGCCUCAAUACGAUUUUGUUGUGGUGUUUUGAUGUUAGAGUAUUUGCACUCCCUACCAAAGCUUUUUAGUGUAUUUAGUUAUAUACCCUAAAAUACUGUGUGGCACUGUUUGAUAAAUGUUUUGGACUCUUCUACCCCUAUGUUAUUAUGCUACCAAAAUACUAAUAAUCUUUGUAAUUUUUUAUAGCUUUAGCAAAAAUUUAUUUUCACAACAUAUCUCGAACGAAAUCAUUUUUCUUAUUCCAAUGUCAAAGAUAUUAAUUACUUUUUGUAUUACACUCACCUCUUUCCUCUACUAAACUUGUUUUAAUACCCUCUAUCUCUGCAAAUUCGUACUCUCUCUUCCUUAUACCCAGCUUGAUACUUUGUAAUUGUUGUGUCAUAUUACUGAUUUUCAAAAGGUUUAAUGGAUUUUUCUGAAUAAGAAACCCCCACCUUCUCCCUCCUCUUCGUCGAGCUCGCGGUGGCGCGUGUAUUCACGCUCCUCAAUCUCUGCCCCAACGUGCAUGCUCGACUCCAUUUGUUGACCGAGAAGCUCGUAGGGAGGAAGAAGCGUGAAGAGAUGGUAGAAGAAUAAGCAUCAUGGAGGCAAGAGAGAAAGACCAACAAUUUUUAUCUUGAAGAUUGGUAAUGUCCACUGAAAAGAACGCUAUGGAUUGUAUUCUUUUUUGCCUAGUCUUUAAUUUUUUUUUGGUCAAAACCCACUCUUUAAUUUUUUUCCAACUAUUUUCUUUGAUUGCUCUGUGUUUUCGUACUUGAUUGUUUUCUUGCUUUAGUAGAUUUUCGAUGAAAGUUUUGAUGUAGUGGUGUGGUGUCUAUCGUUCCAAUAAAUGUUUUUUUCUUUGUUAUAUCAAUUGGUAUCUGCCCCUUGAUAUUAACUCAAGCUGACCCGCCAACUGUAUCGGAUGCUGAUUCUACAACAGAGAAACAUGAUGAGGAAUUCAAAAUUCUAUAAGCCUCAAUCUUAGUUUCCCAUUCUUCUGUUGGCAAAGAUUUUUUUUAUUAUGUUGGUAAUCUUUUCAGUCUCCUCUAACAGAUAACUCAAAACUUAACCAUCUAAUUAACCUAUUUUCAAGAACGAUCUAUAGUUAUUUUGUCUAGUGACUAUGGCUUGUGUUGUGAUGCGUUUUUCGGGAUCUGAUGUAGUCUAUUCUCAGCCAAAUGAAAAUGGUCAAGCAUGUGCUACGAUUUUUGGAAGGUUUAAUUUUUUAGCUUUUGUUCAUGCAAGUUCAUUGUUUGACAUUCUACCACAUCUCACACUGGUUCAUUUUUGCAGGCAAGUUCAGUGAUUGGUUUGAUAGUGUUUGCUCUUGUUGGAUAGACAUUUACAUUUUUUCGAGACAAUACAAAUUUUAGCCGGAUAUUAUUUUAUAUGCCAAGACCAGUUGACAAAACUGAUACAUAUAUGGUUUCAUUUAUACGGAUUAUAAAUAAAGAGAUUGUAAUGUAAAUUGAGUUAGCCGGCUACAAUAAUUUUUUGGUGUGUCGUAACAAACCAUAAAUAACAAACAGUAAUAAAUAUUUGAAUUAGAUGCUAAGAUUAAAUGUUACACGGCUAAAAUAUCUAAUAAAAUAUAGCAAUAUAUUUAUCCAACAUAUCUAAAUAUACAUAAUAAUUUAUCUUUUGAAUUAUUCAUUCAAAUUCAUUGGUAGACAACUAAUAUAUUUAUUGUUAGCCGGCUAACAUAUCUAAUUAUGUAUAACAAUUAAGGGUAUGACUGGUUUUCCCGCUACCACCCGCAAACGCAGCUUUUGCGGUUGGUAGCGGUUGCUGGCGUUUUGCAACAAUCGCUCAAACCGCUCUAAACCGCUCCAAAUCGCUCUGAACCUCAUAAAUUCAAAAGCUGGUUCCAGCUAGCGUUUGCGGUUGCGGGCGUUUGCGGGAGGAUAAAAAAAAAUUAUUUUUUUUCCAAAACAAUAUAAAUACAAAAAUAAAAAAAUUCAAUAAAAAAAUUAAACUGAAAUCAUAAAAAUGUUAAAAUAUAUCAAUUAAAUUUUAAUUAAUAUUAUAAAAAUUUAAAAUAAAAAUAUUUUCUAUAUUUUUAAAAAAUUUAAACUAUAACUUUCUAAAUAUAAAUUUUAUAUUUAUUAUAAUAUUAUUAUUUUUGAUAUUUUUAUAAUUGUAUAAAAUGUAAAUAUUGUUAAUUUAUUAUUUAACUGCUGCUGCAUUUGGUAGUUAACCAGUCAUAAGUAUCCCGCAAACGCACAAAUUUCUAACCGCAUAACCAGUCGUACAAAUCUCUUAAAACCGCUAGAAACCGCAACCACCCGCAUCCGCAAACUCCCGCAACCGCAACCGCAACCGCUGCGGUUAAACCAGUCAGGCCCUUUAUCCGUCAAAUCUAGUGCAAAAUAUUGUAAAACUAAAUAUUUAUAUAUAAUCUAUUAUUUAACUUUUAAUAAAUUAUUUUAGCCAGCUAAUUAUUAUAAUAUCAGGACAUUGCAUUUUGAUAUAGAAAUAGAAGUGGUUGUAACUCUCAAGCACAUUUCAAAACCGUAUUAUAAGAUUAGUUCACUUCGAAUAAAACAAACGCAAGACAACUAAUAUGAGCUACAAUUAUUCUGCAUUUCAAAUGAACAAAAAACUAUUAUACGAACAUUAUAUCUCAUGUCCAACAAACAAAAGUCACGAAACAUUUAAUAAAGUAUAACAAUUUAUUAAAAUUGCUAACAUAUUUAAUACCACAAACACCUAUUGUUAAACGGCUAACAAUUUUGUUUUCUCUCGAUUCAGCAUCACUUGGUCCGCCAAAAAGAUAUCCAAGAAAAAUCCUUUUCCGGGGACAGCAAGAAGUUUAGUAGAUGGCUUCUUCUGUUCUAAUCAUCAUCCAAUCAACCAACACAAUCAACCAACAACAACAACACACAAUUAUUUAUGUUUCAUAAGGUUUGAAGCUUUUGUCUUUUGCUAGAACCAGUAGGUCGUCCUCUCAUCUUCUUAACAGUAGGCAAGGUUCCCCUCCGCCGGAGCCACGAUUGUCUCUACUAGAUUGACUAACAGUGAAAAAAGGAGGUUCAGGAACAAAACACAGUGAUGUCGUUCUUGUUCAUCGUUCUUCUCCCACUUACCACGAUACAGCCAGACUAUUCAAAGACAAAAACAAAAACACAAAGGCACCACAAUUUGGUCGGGAUUCUGUAAAAAAAAAAAAGAAACAGAGGAGGAAGAUAAAGAAGAAGAUAAGGACCAUGAGAGAGAAAAAUGAAAUUUUUGUUUAAUCGUAAUCUUACCAAAAUUUUAUAAUAUUUUUAAACUUACGGGGCACCUAAUGUGACCUACAAACUCAAUAUAUCAAAGGGUUCUAAAUGUAAUUUUACAUACACUUUAUCUACAGUAACUGCCAUACUUUUACUGUAUUAGGUAUAUUCCUAAUUUCCCACUUCUUUAUGGGUUUUGAGCUAAUUGACUCUUGAUGUUAAGUGUUUUUUCAGCUAUUUAGAGGCGUUUUCAUAGAACAAACCAACAAAUGUUUGGUGAAAAGGCAGAGGCAUUUUUAUCCUUUAUUGUGUGCGGAGAGCUGUGUUUGUUUGUUUUUGCCGAAGGAACAUUCGUUUGAAAAUCUUUGUUUACUUUGUCCUCAUUUCUGCUAUCAAAUUCUCUUGAAAAUUAAUAAACAAAUCGAUGUUUCUAUGCGUAAAUACUAAACAGUUUAGAACAAGGCCAGGAAGCAGAGUAUUUGACCAAAAAAAUAUAAAAAACAUAUGUAAUCAGCCAAUCAGGUCUGGAUUUAGAUGGCUUUAAUAUUGAUUUGUAUAAUUUAAGUGCUUAAAAAGCUGAUUCAACACAUCUUUAGCAUACAACUAUUUUAUGCUGUCUACGUAUAUGUUUACUUGGAAUAUCUCAAAAUUUGAUUCUGAAUAAAUAUCGUAAAACAAAAAAUUCAAAAUUUUUAUUUAAUUUACAUGGAACCAUACAAUAAAAGAUUAUCACACAAGAAAUGCCUCUCCAACGAUAUCACACAAAGUCCAUCAUGUAUGAAAAUAAUCUAAAAUAAAUAAAUAAACAAGUGUCUAUAAAUUCAUAUGACAAUAAUAUAGUAUUGACUUUGACUAGCAUCAAAAGUCAACGUCACACUUGGUCCGCUGGAACUGAAACCCGCUGGUUGUGUUAGAAGUACUAAGAGGAACCUUGAGAUCACACCUGAUCUUCGGCUUGAACUUCCACGACUUGAUCAACCCAAACUUAAACCUAAUCUUAAGCCUCAGCUUCGCAUCGAUCCUGUAGAUCCCUGACUUCACAUCCUCCUCAAAAUCCCCCCUAUCUCCGCCGUUAAGCACCACCAAGCUCUGUCCAACUAUAUUAGUUCCAACCACCGUCGUGUUCUUGUGUCCCUGGUAGAACGGCGAGACGUUACUUGCUCCAAAACGCUGAUCACCGUAGUAGCCUCUGACCUCGAUCUGAUCAUAGUAAACACCGAUACGUCGGUUAGGGUUUCGGAUCGUGAAGUUAAGGUCGAGAUUGUAUCGAAGGUUGUUGUCCGUGCCGAGUGUGAACUGAGUGAGUUUGGCGUCGGUGACGUGGAACUUGAUGGCGUUUGGUCGGAAAAUUAGCCAGAUGAUCAGAGCGGCUAUGCCAAUGACGAUGACUAGGGUUAUGAGGAUGUUGAAGAUGACGCUUAAGAUGCAGCAGCCGCAACAGCCGAGACAGUCACCUAAACAGCAGCAUCCACCGCCGCGUCUGCCGUGGCUGUGAGAGGUUUUUGUCGGCGGAGGAAUGGAUGGCCCGUAAUACGCACCGUUUAAGUGCGGUUGCCUGUCGCCCAUGGGUUUGAUGGAAUAGUUCUAAAGAAAGUUUCUGUUUGUGUGUAAUGUUUUGAGAAAAUAAAAAUGGAAUUGUUAUUGAUUGUAAAGAUUUAAGAAAGAAGGUGUAUAUAUACUAGAGAUAGCGUGUAUUAGAUAAACCGAUUAAACGGACGCGGUUUUGUUUUUCAAAGUCAAAGGUGACACGCGUUUUUUAUAUUCUAAGGCGAGUUGAUUAAUUAGAGGUUACUUCCGAGUUACGGCACAGUUCUUAAUUCUUACAUCUUUAUGAUAACAGUUUAGUAAACAUUCAAGAAUAUUGUUUCUUAAUUUUUACUUAGAUUUUUUUCUGUUUAUUUACCCUCUUUAGUUUAGCUAUGUAAAUUUUUUGUUCAAAAAUAAUUAGUAAAUUAAGAUUAUAAUAAUUAGUUAAAUACUUCUAUUAAAUCUAGGAUAAUUUGAUUAACGGGGCAUUGGUCUUUUCCGUAUAUACGUGAAUAUUUAUGUAGUGAAAAUGGAAAUGUAUACAAGUGGGAAUGUAAGGACAUCUCCAUCUCAACUCUAUUUUUUUCUCUAAAAUGGAGUAAAAGUGAAUAUGGAGUAAAUAAUACUCCAACCCAACUUCAUAUCUCACUCCAUAAUGAAAUUUACUCCAUAAAUGGAGUAAUCUAUUUUUUUUUUGUUCAUCACUCUAUUAUGGAGUGGGAAAUAGAGUAGGGUUGGAGCAAUUUUACCCCAUUUUCACUUUUAUUCUAUUUUAGAGGAAAAAAUGGAGUUUUACAUCGGAGAUGCUUUAAUGAUCCUUUCGUGCAGUAGUUGGUUUGGGAAUUGUAAAGAGAGCAAUCUUUACAAUGUAAUAUAACCUUCCAAGAAACUUCCUUAAUUAAAAGCGAUUGCUAAGAGUAAGAUAGCCAAGCUAGUGUUUUCGAAACUGGACAAAAUUAAGACUUUGGAGCAAUAGUUAUAAAAUGAAUGAAGAAUUCAAUUAGCUCAUACAAACAUAAAAGGUCGAGAAAAAAAAAACAUGCCAGUUAUUAUAUGUGACAAAACAAACUGUCACAAAAUUCAGAAGAAAAUAUACAAAUUUAGCAAAGACUUGUAGACGAAGAUUAGGUGAAGACUUGCUUUCAUAUGUUACAUAUUUUUAAACAAGAAAGGUCAAUCAGAUUUAAUAAUAUAAAUAAUACUACAUUAGCAACCGAAUGUAAAUUCAUGGUAAAACUAAACUGCUACAAAAUCAUUAUAGUAUAACACGUAGUAUUAAAAUCCGUGACAUGAUCACAUAUCCGACACCGUUAAGUCAGUUGGUCGCUUUUCAGACACUAACACUGCAGACGGUAACGAGCGUAUACUUAACGCCUCUACCUCCUACGAUAACUCCGGCGGCGCUAUUCCCGAAACUGAUUAACGCCGGACACCUAACGAAGAGAUCAGAUGUCCUCGUAAUAGGACCGACCUUCCAACUAAUCUUCCCGACGACAUGAACCAACACCUUGACUGCACCACUUGACUGUUCUUGAACAAGAGACAAAGCGUUGGCCCGAGCGAUGGGGACGUAUUUUCCACCGAUGAAAGGAGACCAGACGUUGACUUCUUCGUAUCCUUGAUAAGCCGCCGGUAUCGACGUCGGGAGAGUGAUCUGCUGGCUCUGGUAAGAAGCGUAGACGUCGAGACGGUCGUAGUUGAUUCCUGUCUUGCCGUUAAGGUUGCGAGAGAUGAGAGUGGUUUGGAUACUGGAGGUGAGAAGGUCCGGUGGGUCCCCGGAGACGUUGAAGUAGAAGACGGUUGCGUCUUGGAGGAUGAAGCGCGGCUUUGGUGAGUGAAGAAUUACCCAAGCUAGGACAAUUCCGAUGAUGGUCACGAUGAUGAAUAUUACUAAGCAGAUGAUAUUGCGACGGAGGAAGUUUAGGAGGCGGGGUGAGUUGCUGGCGUGAGAGCCACAUUCUUUUACGGGCAUGUUGGAGUUCCGGUGGUGAUGACGGUGGUUGGUGGAAGAGGGAAGUUGAGGAUGCUAUUAAAGUACGUAUACUAUUGGUGAUGGACUCAUGGUAGGGUUUUAUACAUUGGUAUUGACAACAAAAAAAAGGAACUUAAUAAACGUAAAAAAUAGAAUAUGAUGAAAUCAUAUAGAAAAAAGCUUCAUAAAAAUGUACAUUUUUCAUUUAUGAACAAAGAAAUUGUACAUCUUUUCGUUUAAGGAAUUUUUUAUAUUUUGGUAACCUUUUUUAAUUCACUUCUUUCCUUCCAAAUGUAUAUCAAAGCUUGUUCCCGUGGCUUUGCCUUGAGAAUCCAAUUUAAACCGCAAUCAAAUUAAUCCCAAACAAACCGGAUUGCACCAGGGGUUUAUAUUUUGAUAAUAUAAUUUCUACAAAACCGGUAAUAGUAUAUGACACAAAAAUAUCAAUUUUUCAUAUAGUGUAGAGAAACGUUUAAGUAUACAAGCAGAGUGUGCUUAUUAGAAUGUUUUAGAUACGAAAUGUAACUGGAAACAACACAAGAUACAAUCACUGAAACAUUCAAGAAGUAGAUGAAGCUCUUAAGCUUUAUCUAUCAACUUGUGUUUGGCAAAGCUACGGCUGCCACUGGAGGCUCAACCACUUGGAACAGCCCUACAGAGAGCCUUCUCGUGAGAUCCUCCACUUCCACUUUCGCCACGUCAGCUCUCAUACCAAUAUCAGUAGCGUACCUACUCGCACAGUACACACUAACCGCAGUCGCCGCCAUCCCAUAUAUAUUCGUCGUCACAAGCCUCAUCGGAGUGGACAAAACCGCAGCGAUCGGCCCACCGAUGAUCGAAACAGCCUGACCGCUCUGUCCCAUCGUCCUUCUUCCUUCGAGAACAAGCAACCCGGUCUUGCAAUAUAUCGCAAAGUCCUCGCAGUUGUUCUUGAAAACGUCGUAGCAUCCAAACCCGUUCCGGAGGAGGUGGUUGGCUCGGUGGACAGUUAUCUCGUUAGGGUCGGAGACCGCGAGCGUGCAGGUUCCUCCACGGGCUUUGGCGAGGAAGUGAGCGGCGUUGACGGAGUACUCGAAGCGGUACAGGACGCCACCGGCUAGAAAACAGUUAAGGCACGAGGAAACGACGCCGUGGCCUUCGUUGGGUGGAACGCACGUUGGACAGUGCGUGUGGGCUCGUGAUGGGCCUGAGCUUACUAGUAUGAGAUCGAGAACGGUCCCGGUUCCGACUUCUUGGCCUCUUCUAGUGAAAUGGACGACUCUAUCAUCUCCAACAUAGAUACCUGACCAAAAACAUAUUAUUACAUUAUCUUGUGUACCAAAGCAUAUCAUUCAGACCACUUACAAAAUACUUAGCUUGUGAAUCAAGCAAGGAGAGGCUCAAUAUUAACCCUAAAUCAUCGUCUAACCCUAAUUUUUUCUCAAAUCGAUUUUAACACUAAAGCUAUAAUUACAUCAAAACAACGAAUGAAAAGAUAAAUUAAAUAAAUCGAAGAGGAGAAGAGUACCGUGAUGGGCAUAGAUGUAAGCAGUCCUCCACGAGUAGAUAUGAUCCCCAGGUUUCAAACUUGAUCGAUCGAUUCUGUUCAAAAGCAAACGAUACACCAAAAAUGAGAUGAUCGCAAAGUAACAAGAAGAAUUAAAGUAUAAAAGAAGAUGGAACCUGUUGGAGAGAAGACCCAUCUAUGAUCUCUUUAGAUUCUGAAAGGCCGUAGAAGAGACGAGACUGAUGCUUUUCUUAAACUUAUCUUCAAGCGAUAUAGAAUGUAUCGUGAUAAAUGGCUUUGGUAUCCGCCCAUACUUCCUUUGUCGUUAAGAAAAUAAUUAAAAGGGAGAGACGAUGGGACAGGUGCCAACAGUAGGUUUCAUGUGGCAUCGUUUCUUCUUGCUUUGAGAAUAUUGGGCCGGUGUUGAUAUGUAAUGGGCUUUUAAUUUGAUUAGGACUCAGGUGGCCCAACUUGAUUAUCGAAAACCUCUUUUUUUUUUCCUCUGGUCACAGAGAAAAAAGGCUGUAGAUGCUUCUUUUGGAGGUGACUUUACGUUCACGUAGGGCACGUGACAGUAGUUUCCGACGGAGAGAUUACACAUAAUUCACAAACCCAAAAGGUGUAUUUACUAUUUAGAUUGAUGUUUACGUCCCAAACCGACAGCUUCCUUUUAGAGAGCCACGCGUUCCUCGGCUUAUCCUUUGCUUCGAAAUUACAUUCACUCAUCUGAUACUCUCACACGUUUAGAGCCACGCGUUACUCUCACAUUUGUUCAAAAAAUUAAAAAACUCUCACACUUGUCUAUUUUAGCCUUCCUUCUCUUUAAUUUCACUGUAAGUUAAGUAUCAUCACAUAACUACAUCAUUCCCUGUACCAAAUUACAUAUGUUUCUGUUAAGUUUCUAGAAUUUAGCUUACAAAAACAAAAAAAAUGAAAGGAAAUUUUAAGCCAAGCUGAGCUGAGUGGAGAUGAAGUCAGCAGCGAACAUUAUAAAAAUU
rnacentral:lncRNA from 1 species